rnacentral:lncRNA from 1 species
AAAGUAAAAGGUAGAUAACUAUAAUAUUUAACUCUAAUUUUCUUUUUAAUAUACACGCUUUGUUUUUUUAAUCAAGAAGGAAUAAUUUGUAGUUUAUAGAAAUAUCAUGGAAAAAGAUUUAUAGAUAAAUUAAAAUAAUUUCAUUGAAAAAUUAAAUGCAUACAAAACAAUUAAAAAACAAUCUUUAUUUAAAAAAAGUGAAAUAGAUAAUCUAAAAAAUAAAAGAAAUAGGGGUAUUAAUUUAAAUAUAAAUCAAAAAAAUUAAUUAAAAAAAUACAUAUAAAACGAGGGUAUCAAUUAAAAAAAAAAGGUCAGACACUACUAAACCUAACCCAUUUGAAAAAGGGCUCGCAGACGUGGGAUUUUAAUUUUUUUAGUUGAAAAUAGGAAGGAUAACAUGUCGUUUGCUUUAUUUUUAUAUAAAAAAAAUAAAAGCAGACAACACACUGUGUGCCUUUCUAGUUUUCGACUACUUAAGAGAUAGCUAGAAAAUUGAAGAAGGUAUUUUUAUCUAAAAAUGCAAUUUUCAGACCAAAAACACAUAAAAAUACCUCCAUAUGAUGCAAACACACCAAUAAAACAACCCAAAACCCCCUAAAACUCGCAUAAAAACAUUAAUCCAAACUAAAAAUAAAAUCCUCUCCCAUGUUUUACCUUUUGUUUUGGUAAUUUCAAGGGAAAAAACAAAUCAAUAAAAGUCCUCACAUUAAAAGAAAUCAAUUAACACCAAAAUACACUAUUUUCAUGGUCAGAAUUAGUGUCAGCCAAGAGUUUAUUUCUCUAUCACCAGAAUUCAACGAUUCUAUACUUUUCUCAAACCAAGAACCUACAAAUAAGAAAAAUAAUGUUUUAGAUUAAUAUUUAUAAUUUGAAAAGUUGGAGGAUGAAGAUUUACUUAAUCUGGUCUCCGAUUUGGUUGUACAAGGAUGGAAAAAAAAUAUCACCGUUGCAUUCCAUGGUAUCAUGUGUUUUACAAGGAUGGAAAAAAAAUAUCACCGUUGCAUUCCAUGGUAUCAUGUGUUUUAGUUUACAAUGCAUCUUGCAAAGUGAUUUGGCCGCACAACUUAGUAUUUUGCAUAAUAAUAAUCAAAAGAAAAUUAAAGUCAUGAGGUGGUUUCUUUAAGACCAAAAAGAAAUUAAUUAAUUUAAUCAAAACUAUAAGAUAUUUUACCGUCGGAUUCCUUGCAGAAAGAACUGCUUAAAUAAGGAGAAAGUCGUCACCUCUUGUGCUCCAUGAGAGCGUAGCGUGCCGGGCAGGAUCGGCGAUGGAUGAUGAGCGGUGUCGAAUACCAAAAAGCCUUCAGGAAACUUCAACUAUAUAAUAAUGAAGAAUUUUGUUGUAUAAUAAUAAUAAUAAUAAUUAAAAAAACACUAACAAAGAAUCUUAAAUUUUGAUUAAAUUAAUAAUGACUGAUUUUUAAGAUUUGUUUUCAUGUUUUUGUUGUAUAAUAAUAAUAAUUAAAAAAAAAACACUAAUAAAGAAUUUUGGGCACGGCCAAGACGUAGAAAAAACAAGUGAGAUGGGUAAUGUUUAUGUCCAAGCAAAGUGGAAUCUUUGAUGCUGCAAGCAAAACUGUCUGACUAAUAUGUGCGGAACAGAACACAAAAUAAUAUAUAUACUUAAACUAAUAACAUUAUCGUUAUGAAUUUUAAAAAAACUUGAUUUCACUGUAGCUGCACUGUGUUGUUAACUAGCCUGUGAGUGUUUGGGUGUGUGGUUUUUCACUCGGAAAUAUAUUAAAAUAAUGUUUUUUUAUUUUUAAAAAAUAAUUUUUGACAUCAGCAAAUUAAAAUAAUUUGAAAAUACAAAAAAAAUAUUAAUUUGAAGUAAAGAAAAAAAUAAAAAAAUUUCAGUUUUUUUCAAAAACGCUUUUGAAAUAUAAAAACAACUAUUCGUGACAUUUUUUCCUUUACAGGACUUGAAUUUUUUCAAUUUGUUUAUCAACCUUAAUUUCUUUUUAAUUUAAUUGUUACAAGUGCUGGAAAAAAUUAUUUUUAAAAACAUGGUCAAUGAGUAUAUUCAAGGUCAAAUAAAAAGUAAAAUCCAUUUAUUUUUUAGGUUAAAGUCUUAUUUGAAUUUAAUCUUCAACAUAAGUUUAUUAACAUAAAACAUUAAUAUAAUUUAAAUAGAUUAUGAGGGAAUAAUAUAUUAGUUUUAAAAAAAUUGGACAUGAUAAGACUAUCUAAAAUUCAAAUGUUAACUAGGGAAUCGAAUUAUUCACGAUAAAAAUUCAAAUUUUAUUCUAGUUCCUUGCCUUGUAGGAUAGUGAACAUUCGUAAGACUAGAUAUCUCUUAAAUUAUUUUGGUAUAAUUGUUUUGUAUUUUUUUGGAUAAAUUUAAUUUGUUAAUAUCAAAAAUAAAUUUUUAAAAAUAAAAAAUAAUUAUUUUAAUAUAUUUUUAAUUAAAAAAUACUUUAAAAAUUAACUAUAUUACAAUAUAAAAAAACCCUAACAUUACUAUGCUUUAUAACAACGACACUAACGUUAUCUGUCUAAUAGACAUUUCUCUGAACAUCUUCGACGGGUUUUUUAAAGGAAAAACAUUCGAUCCGACCUUUAAGACUCUACUAUAAUAAAACUAUAUUUAAAAAAAAAAAACAUAGAGAUUCAGUCAUAUGAUCAUGUAUAUGAUGACCAUGCACAUGCUCGGUGUUUUUGAAAGACUACUCAUCAUAUCAAUAUCCGUACCUAUGUUACGCAUGUUAUGUCUAAUACAACAACAUACCAUCACUCAUAUGCCAAUCAAAAUAUGCCACGUUAAUAUCAUUGAUUUUGUGGACCAGUAGUCUACUGCCAAUUAUAUGAGCACCCAUGUUAAUGUCAUUUGUUGACAUGUCAUUGUGCUAGCAUGACAUGGUAUUUUAAUUGUUGGUGAAAAUUGUUAUUACUUUGAACCUCAUGCGAUGGAAUAUCGAGAUAAAUAAAUUAUUUACAAAAAAAUCUGGAUUAUUUUGUAAUCAGGGUUGAUUUUAAAAGAAAUGAUAUCAUUUUAUUUAUUUAUUAAAAAAACGUUAACUAAACAUCUAAAAGAAAAGUAACCAAAAUAAAAAGAAGAAAUGGAAAUAAUGUAAAAAUAAAAUUAAAUUUAUGCAUUCUAUGUAAAGGAAAAUUACAGUGAAAUAGGAAGCUGACUCCACAUAGCCAUGGGAGAGUGUGCAUAAUAGUAUUAUAAAAUAUAAUUCCUACUUUUUCCUCUUUCAUGUCCGAAACCAUUUUAGAUAAAAAGAUCUCUUUUCUAUUCUUUCAACAAUCAGCAAGAAAAAGAAAAAAAAAGGAGCAAAAAUGUCUUCACCAAGCAAACGCAGGGAGAUGGAUUUGAUGAAACUGUAAAAAUCUUUUUUCUUUUUAGACAAGUUUCGUUCUUUAUUUAAUUGGGUUUGUUCGGUGUUUUUUUUAUCGAUUCUUAAUUUAUUUUUUCUGGGUUUUGAUUGACUAGGAUGAUGAGUGAUUACAAAGUGGAAAUGAUCAAUGAUGGCAUGCAAGAGUUUUAUGUGGAAUUCAAUGGACCUAAAGAAAGUAAGCAAUCAAAAUCUUCAGUACCCAUUAUUUCUUUUUACUGUUUUCUUUCUUUAAUUCAACUUUUUCUUAAAAAAAUGUUUUUCUUGGUGGGUUAAUUUCUGUUUUUUCAGUUGAUUUUUUAUUUAUUCCUGUUGAUCCAUGUGUAUACUUUGGUUUUUGUACUUGUUCUUCAAGAUUGCAGUGGAUAAGAAGUUAUAUUUCCUUCUUCUUUUUUCUUUGAUGAAUUGAGCCCUUUAUAUUUCUUUUACUGCAGGUUUUUCUUGUUGAAGUUGAGUUUUAAGCAGAUCUUUUUACUAUUGAUGCAUGAGAAGAAACAUGUAGUUUUUCUUUUACUGUAAAGUAGAGUGUGAUUUUAAUGAAUUGCACUGCACUUCUUCUUCUUCUUCUUGUUCUUAUAUUGGUUGCAAGUUUGUUGUUUGUUGAUUUUCCUCAGCAAAGAUAAAGUUUAAGUUUCUUUUGGGGUUUUUUAAUUAUGGAUACAGAUAUUUUAUUAUCUCUUCUCUUCUUUUUCUUUGUGGGAACAUGACAGGUCUUUAUCAAGGAGGUGUGUGGAAGAUAAGAGUCGAAUUACCAGAUGCUUAUCCUUACAAAUCUCCAUCAAUUGGCUUUGUCAACAAGAUCUAUCACCCAAACGUUGAUGAAAUGUGAGUUAGUGGAUGCUAAAAUUUGACUACUUUAGCUCGUUCAAAGCUGGUGUUUGCUUAUAUGUAUAGUUAGUUCACAACUUUUAACGGAAAUGUGGGCUUGUGCUUGAGUUUCAGGUCUGGUUCGGUGUGUUUGGAUGUUAUCAACCAAACUUGGAGCCCCAUGUUUGGUAAACCUUCUGCUUUGUUGUUAUUUAUCUAUGGACACUUUGUAUGCUAUAUGUGGAGCUUCUAAAUCUGAUUCAUCCAUCCAUAGAUUCUUCAAUUUUUGAGUAAUGCUGUUAUUGUCAGAAUUUGACAAUUUCCAUUUUAAUGAAAAUCCACAGAUCUGGUAAAUGUAUUUGAAGUAUUUCUCCCUCAGCUACUUUUGUAUCCAAAUGCAUCAGAUCCAUUGAAUGGAGAAGCUGCUGCUUUGAUGAUGCGUGAUCACACUGCUUACGAUCAAAGAGUGAAAGGUAGGAACUCUAAACAUAGUCUUGUGAACUUAAGCAUUAUUUCCAGUUCUCUUAUUUCCAUCCUGAAAUCUGUAGUUUUUUUCCACUUUAAAAUGCAUGUUGAAAUUCAUGAAUAUAAGACUCCGAGACAGGGAAAUUACGUUGCAUGUCGAGGACAACAUUAACCCAGCUCAUUUAUGCUCAUUGGUGACUGAACCAAUUUUGUUGAGGUUUGAGUGAUAUUCUGAAAGAAGCAUCAUAGUUUAACCUUGAACUUGAUGAGUGAUUCCUGUUCAGGUUUAUUAUAGCUCAGUGUUUCAAGUUGGUAGCUACAAUUGCUUUAUCUAAUUCCAGUUAAAUUAAUUAGUCAUUGGAUUUUCAUUUUGGAUCUACAUCUUUGAACUUGCACGCUCGUUGCAUGUUUGUUUCCAUUGUAUAUCUAUAAUAUCUGACCUAAUUUUAGUUUGAACUUGGAGCAUGAUUUGUUUCUGCUGGGUUUUGAUUAUUAGGAGGAUUCAUGCCAUUUAGGUAAUUCACUGCAUCCAUUAAAGAUCAAAUAGGAAGCAGCAAGAUCUGAGACAUUGAGAUGUACCUCUACUUUCCUCUGUUGUCUUUUGGGUUGGAUGGUUUGAUGCAUUGAAAGGACUUGGAAUCUACAUAUCCUUAGGAAAGUAAUAAGACCUUUAGACCAAUAAAGCAAAAUGGGUCUACUGUUGAUUUUGAAUUGUUAAUUCAGAAAUUGCUAUAUAUUGAACGGAAACAUUUCCUGUGAAAAGGCAUGUAAUUACAUCUAUUUUGAUGCAUGAGUGCAUGAAGGCAAGGGGACUGCGAACCAUUUGUGACAUUGUUGGACAGUGGAGGGGAUGUUGGCUGUCAGGCAAUCGCUGCUGCAAACAGUUUAUUUUCUUCCACUAGAAUUUCUUUACAGAAAUUUGUGUAUUGGGUCUGGGAAGACUAUAGUAUAGUAAGAUUUUCUUUAUGAACAUGGCUGUGGGAGAGCUGAUGUUAGUCAAUCAUUUAUUGUCUCUUAACUAGAUCCUGAAACCCAAAAUCAAAUUUGUCUUUUGAAAAAUGAUUCAGUAACCGUGAAAUGAUAUCAAAUAUGUGAGGAUGGCCUCAAUUUCCUACACAGGAAUGACAGAUUUAAACAAUAGGAGCCCCAACAAGAACACAUGGCUGCCCAAAGAGUAAGGAUAGUUAAUGUUGGUUUGAUCAGUUCUUUGUUUUCAAAAUGGCUACUAAUUUGGUUUUGGAAUUUGGAGAUUAUUUGAGAAAUUAGAACUUUGUGUGAUUGGAAGAAGAAAUGAAGAGCAGUUUCUGAUGGGGUUCACAAAAAUGGACUUUAUGUUGCAUGAAAUAUGGAAGUCUGAUAUAGGUCCGUGUCUUGUAUGGUGAUGGAUCAUCAAAAGUUAAACAAAUCUAAGCUGGUAAUAGAUGUAUACUGUACCUGUACCUUCUCUGAGUGAUGCGUGCAUACUGGCAUCAACCUCAUUGUUUCUAUGAAUUGUAUUAUGUGACAAAAAGAUCAUCAAUCCAAUGUUUUAUCUGCUCUUAUCGUCUUGAACUCUGCCUUGUAUUUAACUUCUAAGCCGCCAUCAUUAUGUUGUUGUAACUACUCGCACCGUUCAUCUAUUUGUCUUGUUUCUCUUUUAUUUCCUGAAAUUGUGCAACUGUUACUUACGACUGUCUUAUUUCCAGAAUAUUGUGAGAAAUAUGCGAAGCCAGAGGAUAUAGGGGCAAAACCAGAAGAAAAAUCCAGUGAUGAAGAGCUGAGUGAAGAUGAUUACAACUCUGAUGAUGACCAAGUCGCUGGCAAAGCCGAUCCUUGAUUAAAUAUAUGGAUGUCUUCCAAUUGUCUGUACCUGUACAUGAAAUUCAGCUCUUUUAAAAUGAAAAAUUAAAUCGCACAGCAAAACUGAAGGCUGAUGGAAAAAAUCCUUCCCUUCUCUCUUUAUGUCUUUAUUUGCCAUAAAUGUAAUUAUUCAACUCUGGAUCAAUGUUUCAGAUAUUCAUUACUGUUGGGAGGGAGGGUCUAAAUCAGGUUGCUAAUCCUUUGCAUGUGCAUGAACUUGUCAUAUUUUCGCGGGACUUGUCUGGUCUCCACUCCACUCAUGGAUGUCUUUUGGUAGAGAACUUAGCUAAUGGUGAUCGGAGGGCAACUCUCAUCCUCUUCUGUUAAGCUUGGAGAGUUUACUUCCAAAUUUGGAACUAUAAUUUUUUUGAGAUUUUUGGGGAGAUCCAUGGCGGGUAUUGAAUAACUUGGUUGAAUCAAGCUAUAAACUCCACUAAUCUAAUGGCUCAUGCAUUGUCUUUCCUGGUCCAUAGCUCUAAAGAGACUUCCCGAAAAUGUGCGAUCUUUGAAUGGGCGAAGGAUACUAAUCAAAGAAUGUGAUCAUAAUAUAAUGGAUCCCUAAGCAACAAGGCCCCUAUAGCUCAGUGGUAGAGCGUCAGUCUUGUAAACUGAAGGUCUGUAGUUCGAUCCUGCAUGGGGGCAUGAUUUAUAUUUUUCUUUGUCUUCUUUCUUUGUUUGUUUUUGGUCCUAAAAUAAAACCAAAACAUUGAAUAUUUUCUGUACGAUGCUAGCCCUAUCUGUAACCUAACUUGAACAAACUUUGAUGAUUUCUUCUCGUUCUUCAACUGGAGACAGAAAAGGAAGAUAAAAAGGGCAUCUAAUAUAAUAUAAUCCAAUAUUGUAAAUAUAAAAGGCUAAAUGGUAAAAAAAAAAAAAAACUUUAAUUUGAACGAAAGAUUUCCCCAUAAACUACUUCAAUUUAAGAAUGUAAUCAUAUGCUUAGUUGAAACAGGACAGGAUUCUGUUAAAAGCAAUUAGCGGGAAACAUCUUUUAUAUAUAUAUAUAUAUAUAUAUAUAUAUAUAUAUAUAUAUAUAUAAUAAAUAGUAUAUUUACAUAAAAGUAAGAUUUUAGACUCCAAACUUGUCCCUAUGAUCGAAUUCAACAGUAGAUAUCUUCUUCUGCAAUAGUAGUUGUACUUGAGUUUGUGAAGUGUCAUAAUUCAUGAAUGAAUGGAUGAAGAAGAUGAAGAAGAGGGGUUUAUUUCUUUAAGUAACCCAAAAAAUGAUUCAAAAAUAGAAAAUUUAUUUAAAACUCUAAAACUUCUCGAGUUAAAUCUAUUUUCUUAAGCAAUUUAAAUACUAAAUAAUAUCUUAUUUAAACUCUUAUCAUUAAAUACAAUUUGAUGAUAUCAAGAACAUUCAUUUUGGUGGUUGAAAUCAGUGUUGACCGAUAACUUUCUCUCCCUACAUCAAAACCCAGUGAUUUUCUCUCAAACUAGGGACUGAAAAAUAAAGUUUUGUAUUGAAAUUGAAUUUUCUAAAACUAAAGGGAUCGAAAAGAUUUUAAUUGAAAAGGAGGACUAAUUUAAACUUUUCUUUUCAAAUAUGAAAUUGCCACCUAAUUUCUCUAUCUUUUUCACUUUGGUCUUUGGUUUUUAAUUAUGUAUUUUCUUAACAAAUUUGAAGCAAUUAGCUACUAAUUUGGCCUUAUAAGAACUCAGUUGAGACAAAAAAAAGUUUGAGGACUAAAACGAAUAAAAAAAUUUCAAUGCUUCAAUCCAUAGUAAAAUAGGAGAGAGUGAAACAUUUAGUUACAAUACUUUACCAACACGUCUUAGUGUUUUGUUCGUAGCAUUACUAUUUCUAUAAUUCUUUGCUUAAAAGAAGUCAUUGUUAUAAAAAAAUUAACGAGAAUAUUUUACACGUAAAGAAAUAAAUAAAUUUAAGGUCAGAAUAUAUUUUUUAUAUGAUGCUAGCCCUACCUGUACUUUAACCUGAACAAACUUUGAUGAGUAAAAAUCACUAGAUUUCAAUGUAGAAAGAUAAAGUUAUCAGUCGACACUAAUUUCUACCAUCAAAACAGUAGUUAUUGGUGUCAAUGUGUUUUAUUUGAUGAGAAGAGUUUCAAUAGGGUGUUACUUAACAUUCAAAUUGCCUGAGAAAAUAGAUCUAACUUUAAGAAGUUUUUGAGUUUUUGGUUGGUUUUUUUUUUCUUGAAUUAUUUUUUUAGGUUGUUUGAAGCAUAAAUGUGUUUUAGGUCUAGGUCAAAAUGUAGUUGAAAGUUGGAUUUUUGGUGCACAACCCCCUGACUUUUCAACAAUCUUGGUCGACGGAAUCUGUGCAAAACAAGCGACGCGUCAUAGCAAUUCUGGAAUGAAAGCUAAUGAAGAAAGGUUACAGAGCUGUCACAAUGGGGCUGGUGUAGUGCUCUAAUAUAUUUGAUGAAAACAUCACAUGGAAAGAUUUAUAAGAGCUUGGUAAACAGUUUCCAAGCUUCUGUCAAGAUUCUCGAACCAUUUCCAGGCUUUUGUCCAUAUUCUUAAGGGCAAGAAUCAUUUUAAAAAGGGGAAAUUGUUACCAGUUUUUAAUAAAAUAAGGAUGGAGAUUUAAGCACGUGCAUAAUAUGAAAAACAUGUGAAGAUAAUAGUUGUAACAAACUGGCUAAUUUGAUCAUAUGUGAUUAGUUAGCUACGAGGUAGUUAGCUGUUAAGGCAAUUAACAGUUAGUAGUUAGAAUAAAAUAGUCAGAACAAUUGUAAUUGUUCUCUUCUUUACUUUUCUGCUAUUUUUUUUUUCCUAAUCCCGUAACUCUUCUCUUGCUAAGCUGACAGCUUAAUUUUCGGACAGCUCUCGCUUGCUUUUACCUUAAAACGAAAAUUUUAUUAGUCUAUUUUUGGACAACUCUCGCUUGCAUCAUUGAAACCUUCUUAAUUGUUUUUGCUAAAUGUCUCACCCUAUGAAUAGCAAAAACAUUGAUUAAGGUCGUAAUUAGAAAUUUAUAGGCAGAUUUUAUGUAUGCUCUCCCAACCAGGAUUUUAUGCUCUCCAGAUUUUUUGUUAACACAUGUAAUCACCAAGAACAAGAGGAGCAGAAGGUGUUAAUGGAGUUUUAAAGUUUGAACUUGAGUGGAAUUACAUUCCUCAACUGCCCCCCAUAAGUAUUGCCCCCCCAACUUGUGGACAGCCUAAGAGCACAACAAGUAUGUGAAAAGGAUAAACAAACACAAACUUUUCUUUUUUCCUAGUGUUUUGUAGCUGUUUAACGGACAAAAGCUUAAUAAUCUUCCCUUUUUUAUUGGGAGCACAAUUAUUUGGUUUGCUUUCUCAUUUCUCCAAUCCCUUUGCAACCUAUACGGGCCAUGGGGGAGAAAAUUAUCACCAUUCUAAGUUUGAUCUCAACCCUCAACAUUGAGUGAUAAUUGUCUACUUUUGAGUAGCAUGUCUAAACCCACCAAUAGUGCAGAAUAUCUUGUGUUGUUUUGUUUGGAUUUUUAUUUUUUAGAUUUGAGGAAACCCCAUCUCUCGAAAAGUGUACUUUGUGAGCUCAGGUGAGCGAGUAAAACCCCGGCUAUCCCAGGUUUUUAUAAGAGGUGCAUGUCCUGACUCGAACUCGAGACCUGCUGUACAGAUUUCAAGUCUUUUACUAUCACGCUACGCCCCUUGAAACUUUUUUGGACUUGAUAAAUCUAAAUUCAUAAAUGUUGGCUUACAAGCUUAAAAAAAAAAAAAAAACUCUUAUAGCUUUCUCCUGAUGUAACCUUAAAGAUGGCAUAUUGCAGUAGCACGUGGUGCCUCAAAAAGUAAUUGAAAAUACCUUUUCAAAUAUGUUUAAAUUAACCAAAAAAAAUAUUAAACUUAUUAUGUUUUAAUGAUAUUGAUAUUGUCAUUAAAACAUUCACAUUUUUAUUUCGUAUUAAAAACGGAAAUGUAUCAUAUUCUCACAGCUAGUAUUGGAACUUCAACGUAAAUGCAUCGACAAGCACGCGAAGCACACGAUUCUGACCAAAUCAUAUCUAUGGAUUUCAAAAAAUAAAAUAAAAUAAAUUCCAUAUCUACAAACUUAGAUGUUGAAGAUUUGGCUCGGCAUUCCGAUUCUUAACCAUUAUGUUAAAUAUUUUUAUUUAUUUUUGUGUUUUAAAAAUAUUUUUUUAAAAAAAUUAUUUAUUUUUAUUUUUUUCUUUGCUUCAAAUUAAGUUUUUUGGUAUUUUUAUAUUGUUUUAAUGUGCUGAUGUCAAAAAUAAUUUUUUUUAAAAAAAUUUUAUUUUGAUAAAUUUCUUAACCAAAAAUACUUUGAAAAAUAACUGUAACCAUAUUCUCAAACACCCAUUUAAUAUAGUAAAUGGGUGGAUUUUUUUUUGCUAUAAGUAUAAAUAAUAAAACUUUAGGUUAUAAUCUAGGUAGAAGAACAAGGCAACCUUUGAAAUGUAGAGACGUAGAUGUCUCCCAGGAGCUUGGCAUUUUCUUUUUGAGCUAGAGUGAGUCAGAUUGGAUUAAAAGCAAUCAAUUUUUGAGUUAGAUUAGCUUAAAAAGAAUUUACCAGGACCGAAGCAUGUCCGAGCCAUGACCGAAUGUGCUUGUUGGUUUUUCAAAAUUUCUUUAAAAUCCAAAAUUGACGCCAUAUCCAAGACUUGGAAGUGAAUACAACGUAAAUGAUACCAGAGCCCACCAAUCACCCAGACCGAGAAUUUAAGUAUUAACACAGUAGCCCAUCUCUUGUUUCGGGCCUAGUGUGUGUGUGUGUGUGUGUGUGUAUUCCACAAGAUUUUUCAUUCAAGAGAACAGGUUUACUGGACCAGAGAGAGCCCAUGUUUCUAACGAUGACAGGCUCUUACAGACUGUCUUAACCGAACUAACUCCCUAUUGGACGGGACAGAACAAAACAAAAGCAUAAUUAUUAGAUUAUUAGACUUUUAAAGUAAUUGAAAAUCUUUUACUAUUUCCUUACAAAUCUGUGGAGUUGGAGGCAGGUUGUGACACGCAAGGCGUUGAAUGAUGAAGUUGUCUUUUUGAAAUGAAGGGUGUAUUAGUUAGAAGGAUUUAUCGUUUAGUAUUCUAUUCACUAAAAAAUCUAUAAUUUAGAAGAAUCUAGAUAAAAAAAUUAGUUGUCAUUCCUAGUUCACUCUACUUAAAGCUUAAGCUGUCUGUCAUUUCAUUUUUGUUCUAUUUAGGUUUUGUUUUUAAAAAAAAACAUAACAAAUCCUCUGUUUUCUUUUAAUCAGAUCAUCAAAAAAACAUCUAGGUAAAUCUAUCUCCCCCUUUUCUCACAUUAGUUUCCAUUUUAUAUGCUUAUUAUUUUUAUUAGUUAUUAUAUUUACUUUUGAAGUUUUUCUGUCCAUAUUUUGAAUUAUCCUUUUAUCUAUAAGAACCCUGCCAGUGUGUGCGAGCGCUUCUGUUUUUGGUUCAAGGGUUUUAGGUUCCUUUUAGUGGGUUUUGGCCAUCUGGGUAGUUAUUACUUCGUCAAUCUUUGACUCUUUUAAUGGGUUUUAAUAGAUUUGAUCAUUAACUAAUAGAUUCAUUAUAGUAGUUUAUAUAGGGAUUUUUCUUGUCAGUUUUUAAAUGGCUAGAUUGAUUCUUCCAUGCAAAAGUUCCUGUCUUGCAAAGACCAGUCUCUUGGGUUUGAUCUCCUCUGCUCCUGUGAUUACUCUCAUCCUAUUUUCUCGUUGAUUUUUAUAUGCAUACAUGUUUUUUAUUUGUUGGUGUUAAUUAUUUAAUGAAUAGCUUUGAUUGGUUGUUGGGACUCUCUUAUGUUGUGUUGCAAUGAAUUAUUGGCACCCAGAAGGAGCAUGAAGGCUAUUGAUUUCUGUUGCUAUAAUUUGCACUAGCUUUAUUAACGGUGCUACAUCCUUAAAAGAAUUUGUUUCCACCAGUAAGGUGUUACCUGUGUUGUUUUAAGUUCAUUGUUCUAUAUGAUUUUGAGAUUUAGCUUCUUGGGUGGUUACUUUCUCUUUUACUCAUUUAUUCUUGUUUUGAACAUUGUUGGUGAUCAUGUAGUAGAUUUUUUGUGUUUGUUUAUGUAUCUUUUAAUCCAUUCAUUUAUGUCCUGCAGCUUCGAGCUACCGGUAGACCUAGUUGCUUUCAGAGUUCAGUGAGAAAUAUCUCGAAAUACAGAGGAUUCCUCAGUUCAGAGGUUUGCAUAAUUUUUCCACGUGUGACCUUGAAAAUCUGAACGCAAGUUUUUCUUUGAUUAUUUUGGCUUCAAGUCAUCGUUGUAUUCCAAGUUCUGCCAAUUGUCCUGACAAAAUUGUUAUCUAGGUUGCCUUUCGAAGGAAGUACCGGUUUUCGUACCCAGCAUUAUAUGUAAGUUAUAAUUCCUUGGUUUCAUCAUGUCUGUCUAAAUACAACUUGCCAGAGCAGGCGCACACCAUAUCCACACACGCUGCACACACAUUCACUCAUGCACCCGAUAAAGUGUCAUGGAAAAUUGUGUAUUUUUUCCGUGAUUGAUUUGUUUUGUUUGGUGUUUCAUGCAUGUAUUUGACCUUAUUGUGCAUUCCUUGACAUAUUUUCAGAGAGAUAAGCAAGACAGAAGGAGACUAAUUUGUGCAGUCGCCACAGAACCAUUACCCAAGCAAGUUGAAGAAUCCAAAAUGGACGCACCAAAAGAAAUCUUUCUCAAGGAUUACAAGUUGCCUGACUACUACUUUGAUUCGGUAUGCAAAAACUUAGUCAAGUUUGGAAUAUAGACAUCUAGGACUCUGAUUUUCUUUCUUUGGCUUUCACUUAUCCUCAUGUACUUGUAUCCUUAUCUUAGGUGGAUUUGACAUUUUUGCUGGGUGAUGAGAAAACAAUUGUUAGUUCGAAAAUAACUGUUUUACCCAGAGUUGAAGGUAACUAUUAAGGCCAUUCUUUGCUCGUAGAAUUUGAUCAGACAUCUGUAGGAAAUUUGCAAAUGUUGUUCUUACAAUGGCAGUUCAUACCAUAGCACUGGCUAAUCGAACACUAUUGUUGAAUAGGUUCUUCUUCUCCGCUAGUUUUGGAUGGAGCAGACCUGAAGCUGCUUUCAGUUAAAGUCAAUGGUGAGGAACUGAAGGUAUGUAUAUUUCACUCUUCCAGAUGUUGGCUUAGCUUGUGGAUUUUUCCACUUAACUAUAUUGGAAAGCUUUUUUGCUUUUUCGAUCCUGAUAUUUGUCUACACUCUUUCCUAUAGGAGGUUUUGAUAAUGUUAUACCUUUUCCUUUUUUCGCAUUUUAUUAGUCCAAGGAUGCUCACACCCAGUUAGAACACUUGCCAUUUUGUGAUGUUUGGCACUUUAUUCCUUUUCUUUCCCCAUCUCUCUCUCUAUUUUUUUCCCCUCUUCUUUCUCUCUUCUUUCUUUUUUUGGGGCGGGGAGGGUUUAAGAUAAUUUGGUGAUGAUUUAACACAACUUUAUUUUUGCGCUUUUCUUUUUUCCAGAAUGGAGAUUAUCAUUUGGAAUCACGCCAUUUAACAAUCCUAUCACCACCUUCUGGUAAAUUUACGUUGGAAAUUGUUACUGAGAUAUAUCCCCAGAAGAACACAUCAUUGGAGGUACAACAUAUUUUCUCUCGUCCUUUUCACAGAUGCUUCUUGUGACUGUUUGCUAGAUUUGAAGUUGCACUAUCCUUUUUUCUCUUUAGGGACUUUACAAGUCAUCUGGGAAUUUCUGCACUCAAUGUGAAGCAGAGGGUUUCCGCAAAAUUACAUAUUAUCAGGUUAAUUCAUAGAACCAUUUAAUUCUAUUGAUUCAUUCUGCUAAAUACAACUUUAAAAUAUUUUAUUUUAAUAUGUUAACAGGAUCGCCCUGAUAUAAUGGCAAAAUACACUGUCCGGAUUGAAGCUGAUAAAUCUUUGUACCCAGUAUUGCUAUCUAAUGGAAAUCUCUUGGAACAAGGAGACCUUGAGGUGAAUUUACCUGUUAUGUAGAAUAGCCUCCCCCAUCCACCAAAAAAUAAAAUAAAAUUAAUCACCAUCCAAAGUCUGCUUCUCUGGUUCUGUUGCAGGGUGGUAAGCAUUAUGUUCUAUGGGAGGAUCCCUUCAAGAAACCUUGCUAUUUGUUUGCAUUGGUUGCUGGACAGCUGGAGAGCAGAGAUGACAUGUUUGUUACCCGUUCUGGUCGAAAUGUGUCACUAAGAAUUUGGACCCCUGCACAAGAUGUACCCAAGACAGCACAUGCCAUGUAUUCACUUAAAGCAGCAAUGAAAUGGGAUGAGGAUGUUAGUAUCUUCCUAUCUAACCCAUUAUUUAAAAAUAACAUCAAACCUAAGUUUUGGGUUUUAGUGUUAAGAGUCUUACCAUUUUAUCAUGUAACUCUGCAAACAGGUUUUUGGUCUUGAAUAUGACCUAGAUCUCUUUAACAUUGUUGCUGUCCCUGAUUUUAACAUGUAAGUUACAUUCUUUGUUUAGUAAAACGUGCUCAUAUAAUAGCCCUUUAUCUUGUUUGAUCUGUAUAAUGGUGACAAAUACUGUUAGUUUCAUGCACUUAAGCACUCACACUACUUGUUUCUGAUUGAUUGUCAGGGGAGCCAUGGAGAACAAAAGUUUGAAUGUAUGUCAUCUAACAUUCUCGAGUUCAUCAUCAUUUAUAUUUGUUUAUUUUAUCUUCUUAUUAACACCAAAAAUUAAUUGAUCUUAUCUAUAUGGAUUUCCUUUUGGCAGAUUUUCAAUUCCAAGCUUGUUUUGGCAUCCCCAGAAACUGCUUCAGAUGCAGAUUAUGCUGCUAUUCUUAGGGUUAUUGGCCAUGAGGUUUGUUAUGAUAUAACAGAAGGAGCAUAUUUUUUCAAAACCUUUUGUAUGAUUCCGAGGAAUGUAUUGUUUUGACUUGAAUUUUGUCUUGUUUCUAUCUGCAGUAUUUCCACAACUGGACAGGCAACAGGUUGGCUUAAAGUCCUCCCAUUUUUUAUCCUGUCUUUAUGCCAGUGUUAUCGCAUUCUAUUUUUAUAUGCAGAGAAAUAAGAUCUGUGUUGUUGCAGUAUGUUUGUAGUGGAUUUGUUGUUCUAGUGGUCAUGGAGAUGAAUGUAUUUUUUAUUGCUUUUGUUUUAUUGUGAAUUACUGUAUGUAUUGAAACUUUAAUUAAGUGAUAUCUGAAUAAAUGCAGGGUGACUUGUCGUGACUGGUUCCAGCUCAGUUUAAAGGAAGGUCUAACUGUAUUUCGUGAUCAGGUAGAACUCUUUUCUUUCCUAUAUAACGAGUGGCAAUUUCAUAGUCAUAUUAGUACCUUCUUUAUUUAUUCUUGAAAAUCUUUCAACAAUGCUAGGAGUUUUCAUCUGAUAUGGGAAGCCGCACUGUGAAGAGGAUCUCUGAUGUUUCAAGGCUUCGAAUUUCUCAGUUCCCGCAGGUUCUUUCUUGUCCCUUUUCACAAUUUUUGAAGUGAUGUCUUAAGUAUUAAUCUUCAGGUGUUUAAAUUACUUUCACAAUUAUAAGUUGAUACAUGAGUAUGCUUUCUCUAUAAUUUCACAUGGAUUCUGAUACAGCAUACUAUAUGCAAGCUCUAACAAAGCUAUUUUGUAAUCAUUCAGGAUGCCGGUCCUAUGGCUCAUCCAGUGCAACCACAUUCAUAUAUCAAGGUAUGAAAUCUACUUAUUUAUCAAAGACCUUUUCUGUUAAACUAUCUGCUUGCUUUAAACUUAAUUUUUAGAUGUGUACUGUAUUCAAUGUCGCUGCCUCUUUAUCCACAGAUGGACAACUUCUACACAGGUUAGUUUCUGCUCUGUAUGACUUAUUCAGUCAAAGCUUCAUGAAACACUUUGCUUUCAAGUGGUUUGGAAUUUGGUCUUUUAACUUUUUUGAUAUUUGGCUGUCUUUUGCAAUGACAUUGGGUUCAUUCUGAUACGGGACUUUUCACCGCCAAAAAUUUGCAGUGACGGUAUGGUUUGGAAAUUUGUGGUUGCAUCUUUUAAUUUUGUUCAGUUUUCCUCCUUUCACGAGGCCAGUUACCUAAUUCUUCUGGUGGGUUUUCUUUCUUGUUUUUCUUCGUUGCAGGUGUAUGAAAAGGUACGAAAGCAUUCUCAUCUUGUGUAUAUGUGUGCAUGUGUGGAUAAGGAGCACUGUUGAUGCAUCAAAUUCUUAUUUUUGUGUAUCAGGGAGCGGAAGUUGUCAGGAUGUACAAAACCUUAUUAGGGAGUCAAGGUUUCAGAAAGGUAGAAAAUGAUCCAAGCUGAUUCUUGUGUGAUAAUCAGCUAUACCAUAAAACUAUGCAUCCUGGAAAAUUUAACCACAAUUGUUUUUUGUAUUUCAGGGCAUGGAUCUUUAUUUUAAAAGACAUGAUGGUCAAGCUGUGACAUGUGAAGAUUUUUUUGCUGCCAUGCGAGAUGCAAAUGAUGCAGAUUUCGCUAAUUUCUUACAAUGGUAUAGACCUGUCUUUUAUUUUCUUUGAAUUACCCUCUGUUUUUUUAUGCUUACCUUGGAAUGUAAUAAAAUUACAGGUACUCCCAAGCUGGUACACCUCUGGUGAAAGUUACUUCAUCUUAUGAUGCUGAAGCUCAUACUUUCACCUUAAAGUUCAGGUAUACAUGCUAACUUCCUUGCGAGAGGCAUGAUCUUCCUUUAUUAGUCUUGUGGUAUGACUGACAACUCGGAAUCUGGAUAUUCCACAGUCAAGAAGUACCACCAACGCCAGGGCAACCAGUUAAAGAACCCAUGUUCAUUCCUGUGGUGUUAGGGCUGCUCGACACAAGUGGCAAGGACAUGCCACUCUCGUCUGUGUAUCAUGAUGGAGCAUUGAAGUCUAUUGCAAGUGGCAGUCAACCAGCCUAUAGUACAAUUCUUAGAGUAACCAAGGUGAGAGCACACCGGUGAACCCAUGCUUGCUUUAUCUUUGCAUGUUUUAGUUUCUCCUUGGAUAUCUUGUUAACUGCAGCUGCUUUCCAAUGUCCUAUUUUUGAUUGUUUUGCCAGAUUUUUGGUUAAGCAUCAAAAUGGUCUUUUCAGAUUUUUCUUGGUUGGAUAUGUGUUACUAGUUAUUCAUAUGAAUUAGUGGUGUUCCUGGAUCUACUAUAAAGAUGUUAGUAGUUGUGGUUGGAGUUAGUUAGUUGUUAUAUGAUGCUUUUAUUGUGAUUUUUAUUUAUUGAGAUUAAAAAGAAAUGAAUUUAUAUCAUGCAUCACUUUUAUCAAUAAGAAGUGAAUUUACUGCUGAUGCUGCACAGAAAGAGGAGGAAUUUGUUUUCUCUGAUAUACUUGAGCGGCCAGUACCUUCUCUAUUGCGGGGUUUCAGCGCUCCAAUCCGUCUUGAAUCUGAUCUCUCUGACAGUGAUCUGUUUUUCCUCCUUGCUCAUGAUUCAGAUGAAUUCAACCGGUUUGUCUAUCUCUAAGCAUUUGUGCCAUUUUUCUUACUUUAAGUGACUGAUGGAAAGGUAUUUUGUACUCUUUUUUUUUUUGUUUCAGAUGGGAGGCUGGACAAGUCUUGGCUAGAAAACUGAUGCUCAGUUUAGUCUCUGAUUUCCAACAAGGGAAACCAUUGGUUCUGAACCCAAAGUUUGUGCAAGGGCUAAGAAGCGUACUUAGUGACUCGAACUUGGAUAAGGUAUGGCCAGUGUUUUUUCCUCAUCUUCCUCCUCUUGUUUGUGGGGAGGGAGGAGGUAGAAGAUUCUUGCACCAGAGUAGAUAGAAGAUGUAAUGCACUAAUGAGGCUUAAUCUUUUUGUUAUCCAGGAAUUUAUUGCAAAGGCAAUAACACUACCAGGUGAAGGAGAAAUAAUGGACAUGAUGGAAGUUGCAGAUCCUGAUGCUGUUCAUGCUGUUCAAUCUUUCAUCAGGAAGCAGCUUGCAUCUGAACUGAAAGCAGAGUUUUUACGCACAGUAUGGCCAGUCACCUUGGGUUUACUUUAUUUGUACUUAAUGUCUCCACUUCUUGAUUAAUCACUUUGGGUGAAUGAAUUUGUCAUACUUCACAGGUCGAAAACAAUAGGAGCUCAGAAGAGUAUAUGUUUAACCAUCCUAACAUGGCCAGGCGUGCUCUAAAGAAUAUUGCCCUUGGUCUGUGUUUCUUCUCUUGGUCUUGUGUUUCUUGGCAUCAUGGUUUUUAAAGUUUCUAGAUUAUAGUAACUAAUUUAAGUAGUUACACCUGUCUUUUCCACCAUCUGCAGCAUAUCUUGCAUCACUUGAAGACCAGGAGUUAACUGAGCUUGCAUUGCAUGAGUACAAAACUGCCACAAAUAUGACCGAUCAAUUUGCAGCUUUGGCAGCCAUAGCCCAAAAUCCUGGGAAAACUUGUGAUGGAGUACUUGCUGACUUCUACACCAAGUGGCAGGAUGAAUUUUUGGUGAGUCUUUUGCUGAGAGCAAUUCAUUUUACUUGUUUUGUCGUGCCCUGUUUCACCGAGGACAAGUAUAUUUGGAAAACAAUGACUUCCAUGAGGCUAUUAUAUCAUUGGAAGCCAUUUCAAGGAACAGAGCAUUGAAGUAAUUUUGUUAUCUCUUGUUGGAUAAUAUGUUCUCUCUUUCUGAUAGGUUGUGAAUAAUUGGUUUGCCCUUCAAGCUAUGUCUGAUGUUCCUGGUAAUGUUGAGAAUGUUCGGAACCUCUUGAAUCAUCCAGCAUUUGAUCUGCGCAAUCCAAACAAGGUAUGCAAUCAUCAAUAACUGUUUAUGUUUGUUUGUGUGCGCACCUUCAUGUGUCAAUUUCGAAGUUUUGAUUGAAAUUGAACCCUUUGUGUGAUAUGCAGGUACACUCACUCAUUAAAGCAUUCUGCAGCUCACUCGUGAAUUUCCAUGCAAAGGACGGGUCAGGCUACAAGUUCUUGGGGGAGAUUGUGGUGCAACUGGACAAAAUUAAUCCUCAGGUUUGUUUCUAUAUUACAUCCACGGAGUAGGAAGUAAAUUGUCGUUAUCACUAUGCUCAUGGGAUUGAUCAUCUGUAGUUGCUUGUUCAAUAACCUCCGUGGAUUCCAGAUGGCAUCCCGUAUGGUAUCAGCCUUCUCAAGAUGGAAACGCUAUGAUGAAACCCGGCAAAACCUUGCCAAGGUAAGUAGCUGGUGCCAUUUUUUCUGUGGAAUAACCAUCCAAAAGCAUUGAUGUUGCACACAUCAGAUUUACCUUUGAGAUUUGUUGUUGGCUGGCAUGUUAAUUUGUAUCCAAAUUGGCACGGUUUAAUGCAGGCACAGCUGGAGAUGAUCGUGUCUGCCAAUGGACUGUCAGAGAACGUAUUUGAGAUCGCCUCAAAAAGUUUAGCUGCUUAAAUGCCUAAAAUUUGCAGGUUGCAGUUGUUUGUCAUCAGUGCUUGCGACGGUGAUGUGGGACAAUAAGUGUGUUUGGCACAUUUGCAAGAUCACCAUGAUAAGCAUGCUGUCCUCGUUAUGUCUCUUUCAUGGAAGAGACAGGAUUCUGUAACUUUCAAUACAUCUUUACAUGGAAUAUUUCCCAAAAUAAUACCCUGAUGAUGCUUUUUUCUUCUUGGUUGGGUGAACUUGAAUGUUACUCCACUGAUGUUUUAAUGAAUAGUGUUAUAAGAGGAGGGGUACAAUAAAACUCUUCUUUUUUUGUUAACGAGAUUGUUAGCUUACGCUACAUUGUAGGCUAGAUUAAGAUUCUUUUCAAUGUGAAAAAUGUUCAAGCAUGGCUAAUAAGUUUUCUAGUAGAAAAAAAAAAAAAGAUUAUGUGAGAAUUAAUUAAUUCGAUUUGACAUGUUUAACUUGAUAGGUUUAAAGGUAACCCAAAUGACGAGUAAAAUCAUAGUCUAACUAAAAACACUCAAGACAACCAAUUUUUUUUUAAAAAAAAUAUCAAAACAUGAACAUAUUAGAAGGAUUUGAGUCAACUUGUUAAAUUCGAAACUUAGAUCAUGAUAACUCAAUAUAAAACAAAUCAAAAUAAAUUAUGAAGUUAAAUUCUCAAUCAAUCCAAUAUUGAAUGAUGAGAUUGAAAAAAAAAAUAAAAACAAAAAAAAUAACAUAAGCUAGCUUGAGCUAACAUGUCCAAUUCAUAACCUGAGUCGUGAGACUAGGAAAACCCCUUAAAAAGUAAAUCGAAACAAAUUAUGAAGUCUAAUUCUACGGUCAAUCCAAUAUUGAAGAAUGAAGUUGAAAAAAAUAAAUUAAAAAAGGACACAAAAAAUGACCCUAGUCAACCCGAGUUAACCGUUAAACCCAUGAUCCGAGUUAUGAGAUCGGGAUAACCUCAUAGAAAACAAAUCAAGAAAUUGACCCGUGACAACCCAAAUUACCUUGCCAAAACCGCAACUCGGAUCAUGAGAUAACUUUAUAUAAAACAAAUUGAAACAAAUUAUGAAACACAAUUUUUAAUCAACCUAUUUUUGAACAAUGAAAUUGAAUCCAAUAAAAAAAUAGACGAAAAAUAUCUCGAGUCAACUAAAAUUAACCUACAAAACUUGUGAUCAUGGUCAUUAGACCAAGAUAAUAUAAUAGAAAUUAAAUCGAAACAAAUCAUGAAAUCCAAUUCCUAAUCGAUUUAAUAUUAAAUGAUGAAAUAAAAAAAACACCAAUUAAAAUGAAAAAAUCCAAGUCCAUUGGGUUAAUACGCUAAACUCGUAACACAAAUCAUGAAAUUAGAAUAAUUACAUAAAAAACAAACAACAAAAAAAUCAUGAAGCUUAAUCUAUAAUGCAUUAAAUUAAACGUUGAAUAAUAAUAAUAAAAAAAAAACAAAGGCAACGAAAAAAAAUACUUAUAUAAUAAAUAGUAUUUUUCAAGGUGAUGCGCUGGAAGAAAAAACUAUUGAUUUUAGUAUUAAGUUAAUUAAUUUUAAUUCCAAUAUCAUUUUUUUAAGCUCAAAUAUAAUAAUCCAACAAGCAUUAUUAUUACACCGAUGUUCCAGACGUUCCCGUGCAUACGAUAUCCUGGCUGUACUAAUUGAAAAGAUAAUCAGAAGAAAAAAUUGUUAGGUGUGAGAGAGAGAGAGAGAGAGAGAGAGAGAGAGAGAGAGAGAGAGAGAGAGAGAAGUGGGGUAAAGGUUUAUGGGCAGAUUUUACGUAUGCUCUCCCAACCAGGAUUUUAUGCUCUCCAGAUUUUUUGUUAACACAUGUAAUCACCAAGAACAAGAGGAGCAGAAGGUGUUAAUGGAGUUUUAAAGUUUGAACUUGAGUGAAAUUACAUUCCUCAACUGCCCCCCACAAGUAUUGCCCCCCCAACUUGUGGACAGCCUAAGAGCACAAGAAGUAUGUGAAAAGGAUAAACAAACACAAACUUUUCUUUUUUCUUGGUGUUUUGUAGCUGUUUAACGGACAAAAGCUUAAUAAUCUUCCCUUUUUUAAUGGGAGCACAAUUAUUUGGUUUGCUUUCUCAUUUCUCCAAGCCCUUUGCAACCUAUACGGGCCAUGGGGGAGAAAAUAAUCACCAUUCUAAGUUUGAUCUCAACCCUCAACAUUGAGUGAUAAUUGUCUACUUUUGAGUAGCAUGUCUAAACCCACUAGACAAUAGUGUAGAAUAUCUUGUGUUGUUUUGUUUGGAAUUUUUUUUUUUAAAUUCGAGGAAACCCCACCUCUCGAAAAGUGUACUUUGUGAGCCCAGGUGAGCGAGUAAAAUCACGGUUAUCCCAGACUUUUACAAGAGGUGCACGUCCUGACUCGAACUCGAGACCUGCUGUGUAGAUCUCAAGCUCUUUACCAUCACGCUACGCCCCUUGGGAACUUUUUUGGACUGAUAAAUCCAAAUUCAUAAAUGUUAGCUUACAAGCUUAAAAAAAAAAAAAAAAAACUCUCAUAGUUUUAUCCUGAUGUAACCUUAAAGAUCGCAUAUUGGAGUAGCACUUGGUGCCUCAAAAAGUAAUUGAAAAUACCUUUUCAAAUAUGUUUAAAUUAACCAAAAAAAAUAUUCAACUUAUUAUGUUUUAAUGAUAUUGAUAUUGUCAUUAAAACAUUCACAUUUUUAUUUCGUAUUAAAAACGGAAAUGUAUCAUAUUCUCACAGCUAGUAUUGGAACUUCAACGUAAAUGCAUCGACAAGCACGCGAUUCCGACCAAAUCAAAUCUAUGGAUUUCAAAAAAAAAAAAAAAAAAAACCAUAUCUACAAACUUAGAUGUUAGAUGUUGAGGUAAUAGAUUUGGCUCGGCAUUCCGAUUCUUAACCAUUAUGUUAAAUAUUUUAUUUAUUUUUGUGUUUAAAAUAUUUUUUUAAAAAAAUUAUUUUUUUUAUUUUUUUCUUGCUUUCAAAUUAAGUUUUUUGGUAUUUUUAUAUUGUUUUAAUGUGCUGAUGUCAAAAAUAAUUUUUUUAAAAAAUUUUUUAUUUUGAUAAAUUUCUUAACCAAAAAUACUUUGAAAAAUAACUGUAACCAUAUUCUCAAACACCCAUUUAAUAUAGUAAAUGGGUGGAUUUUUUUUGGCUAUAAGUAUAAAUAAUAAAACUUUAGGUUAUAAUCUAGGUAGAAGAACAAGGCAACCUUUGAAAUGUAGAGACGUAGAUGUCUCACAGGAGCUUGGCAUUUUCUUUUUGAGCUAGAGUGAGUCAGAUUGGAUUAAAAGCAAUCAAUUUUUGAGUUAGAUUAGCUUAAAAAGAAUUUACCAGGACCGAAGCAUGUCCGAGCCAUGACCGAAUGUGCUUGUUGGUUUUUCAAAAUUUCUUUAAAAUCCAAAAUUGACGCCAUAUCCAAGACUUGGAAGUGAAUACAACGUAAAUGAUACCAGAGCCCACCAAUCACCCAGACCGAGAAUUUAAGUAUUAACACAGUAGCCCAUCUCUUGUUUCGGGCCUAGUGUGUGUGUGUGUGUGUGUGUGUAUUCCACAAGAUUUUUCAUUCAAGAGAACAGGUUUACUGGACCAGGAGAGCCCAUGUUUCUAAAGAUGACAGGCUCUUACAGACUGUCUUAACCAAACUAACUCCCUAUUGGACAGGACAGAACAAAACAAAAGCAUAAUUAUUAGAUCAUUAGACUUUUAAAUGUAAUUGAACAUCUUUUACUAUUUCCUUACAAAUCUGUGGGGUUGGAGGCAGGUUGUGACACGCAAGGCGUUGAAUGAUGAAGUUGUCUUUUUGAAAUGAAGGGUGUAUUAGUUAGAAGGAUUUAUCGUUUAGUAUUCUAUUCACUAAAAAAUCUAUAAUUUAGAAGAAUCUAGAAAACAUUGUGACACGCACAUUCACUCAUGCACCCGAUAAAGUGUCAUGGAAAAUUGUGAAUUUUUUCCGUGAUUGAUUUGUUUUGCUUGGUGUUUCAUGCAUGUAUAUGACCUUAUUGUGCAUUCCUUGACAUAUUUUCAGAGAGAUAAGCAAGACAGAAGGAGACUAAUUUGUGCAGUCGCCACAGAACCAUUACCCAAGCAAGUUGAAGAAUCCAAAAUGGACGCACCAAAAGAAAUCUUUCUCAAGGAUUACAAGUUGCCUGACUACUACUUUGAUUCGGUAUGCAAAAACUUAGUCGAGUUUGGAAUAUAGACAUCUAGGACUCUGAUUUUCUUUCUUUGGCUUUCACUUAUCCUCAUGUACUUGUAUCCUUAUCUUAGGUGGAUUUGACAUUUUUGCUGGGUGAUGAGAAAACAAUUGUUAGUUCGAAAAUAACUGUUUUACCCAGAGUUGAAGGUAACUAUUAAGGCCAUUCUUUGCUCGUAGAAUUUGAUCAGACAUCUGUAGGAAAUUUGCAAAUGUUGUUCUUACAAUGGCAGUUCAUACCAUAGCACUGGCUAAUCGAACACUAUUGUUGAAUAGGUUCUUCUUCUCCGCUAGUUUUGGAUGGAGCAGACCUGAAGCUGCUUUCAGUUAAAGUCAAUGGUGAGGAACUGAAGGUAUGUAUAUUUCACUCUUCCAGAUGUUGGCUUAGCUUGUGGAUUUUUCCACUUAACUAUAUUGGAAAGCUUUUUUGCCUUUUCGAUCCUGAUAUUUGUCUACACUCUUUCCUAUAGGAGGUUUUGAUAAUGUUAUACCUUUUCCUUUUUUUGCAUUUUAUUAGUCCAAGGAUGCUGACACCCAGUUAGAACAGUUGCCAUUUUGUGAUGUUUGGCACUUUAUUCCUUUUCUUUCCUCAUCUCUCUCUCUGUUUUUUUUUUCUCUUCUUUCUCUCUUCUUUCUUUUUUUGGGGCGGGGAGGGUUUAAGAUAAUUUGGUGAUGAUUUAACACAACUUUAUUUUUGCGCUUUUCUUUUUUCCAGAAUGGAGAUUAUCAUUUGGAAUCACGCCAUUUAACAAUCCUAUCACCACCUUCUGGUAAAUUUACGUUGGAAAUUGUUACUGAGAUAUAUCCCCAGAAGAACACAUCAUUGGAGGUACAACAUAUUUUCUCUCGUCCUUUUCACAGAUGCUUCUUGUGACUGUUUGCUAGAUUUGAAGUUGCACUAUCCUUUUUUCUCUUUAGGGACUUUACAAGUCAUCUGGGAAUUUCUGCACUCAAUGUGAAGCAGAGGGUUUCCGCAAAAUUACAUAUUAUCAGGUUAAUUCAUAGAACCAUUUAAUUCUAUUGAUUCAUUCUGCUAAAUACAACUUUAAAAUAUUUUAUUUUAAUAUGUUAACAGGAUCGCCCUGAUAUAAUGGCAAAAUACACUGUCCGGAUUGAAGCUGAUAAAUCUUUGUACCCAGUAUUGCUAUCUAAUGGAAAUCUCUUGGAACAAGGAGACCUUGAGGUGAAUUUACCUGUUAUGUAGAAUAGCCUCCCCCAUCCACCAAAAAAUAAAAUAAAAUUAAUCACCAUCGAAUGUCUGCUUCUCUGGUUCUGUUGCAGGGUGGUAAGCAUUAUGUUCUAUGGGAGGAUCCCUUCAAGAAACCUUGCUAUUUGUUUGCAUUGGUUGCUGGACAGCUGGAGAGCAGAGAUGACAUGUUUGUUACCCGUUCUGGUCGAAAUGUGUCACUAAGAAUUUGGACCCCUGCACAAGAUGUACCCAAGACAGCACAUGCCAUGUAUUCACUUAAAGCAGCAAUGAAAUGGGAUGAGGAUGUUAGUAUCUUCCUAUCUAACCCAUUAUUUAAAAAUAACAUCAAACCUAACUUUUGGGUUUUAGUGUUAAGAGUCUUACCAUUUUAUCAUGCGACUCUGCAAACAGGUUUUUGGUCUUGAAUAUGACCUAGAUCUCUUUAACAUUGUUGCUGUCCCUGAUUUUAACAUGUAAGUUACAUUCUUUGUUUAGUAAAACGUGCUCAUAUAAUAGCCCUUUAUCUUGUUUGAUCUGUAUAAUGGUGACAAAUACUGUUAGUUUCAUGCACUUAAGCACUCACACUACUUGUUUCUGAUUGAUUGUCAGGGGAGCCAUGGAGAACAAAAGUUUGAAUGUAUGUCAUCUAACAUUCUCGAGUUCAUCAUCAUUUAUAUUUGUUUAUUUUAUCUUCUUAUUAACACCAAAAAUUAAUUGAUCUUAUCUAUAUGGAUUUCCUUUUGGCAGAUUUUCAAUUCCAAGCUUGUUUUGGCAUCCCCAGAAACUGCUUCAGAUGCAGAUUAUGCUGCUAUUCUUAGGGUUAUUGGCCAUGAGGUUUGUUAUGAUAUAACAGAAGGAGCAUAUUUUUUCAAAACCUUUUGUAUGAUUCCGAGGAAUGUAUUGUUUUGACUUGAAUUUUGUCUUGUUUCUAUCUGCAGUAUUUCCACAACUGGACAGGCAACAGGUUGGCUUAAAGUCCUCCCAUUUUUUAUCCUGUCUUUAUGCCAGUGUUAUUGCAUUCUAUUUUUAUAUGCAGAGAAAUAAGAUCUGUGUUGUUGCAGUAUGUUUGUAGUGGAUUUGUUGUUCUAGUGGUCAUGGAGAUGAAUGUAUUUUUUAUUGCUUUUGUUUUAUUGUGAAUUACUGUAUGUAUUGAAACUUUAAUUAAGUGAUAUCUGAAUAAAUGCAGGGUUAUGAAGCUGACGCGGAUCGUCGCACGAUCGGGCCUUCUAACUGUAUUUCGUGAUCAGGUAGAACUCUUUUCUUUCCUAUAUAACGAGUGGCAAUUUCAUAGUCAUAUUAGUACCUUCUUUAUUUAUUCUUGAAAAUCUUUCAACAAUGCUAGGAGUUUUCAUCUGAUAUGGGAAGCCGCACUGUGAAGAGGAUCUCUGAUGUUUCAAAGCUUCGAAUUUCUCAGUUCCCACAGGUUCUUUCUUGUCCUUUUUCACAAUUUUGAAGUGAUGUCUUAAGUAUUAAUCUUCAGGUGUUUAAAUUACUUUCACAAUUAUAAGUUGAUACAUGAGUAUGCUUUCUCUAUAAUUUCACAUGGAUUCUGAUACAACAUACUAUAUGCAAGCACUAACAAAGCUAUUUUGUAAUCAUUCAGGAUGCCGGUCCUAUGGCUCAUCCAGUGCGACCACAUUCAUAUAUCAAGGUAUGAAAUCUACUUAUUUAUCAAAGAACUUUUCUGUUAAACUAUCUGCUUGCUUUAAACUUAAUUUUUAGAUGUGUACUGUAUUCAAUGUCGCUGCCUCUUUAUCCACAGAUGGACAACUUCUACACAGGUUAGUUUCUGCUCUGUAUGACUUAUUCAGUCAAAGCUUCAUGAAACACUUUGCUUUCAAGUGGUUUGGAAUUUGGUCUUUUAACUUUUUUGAUAUUUGGCUGUCUUUUGCAAUGACGUUGGGUUCAUUCUGAUACGGGACUUUUCACCGCCAAAAAUUUGCAGUGACGGUAUGGUUUGGAAAUUUGUGGUUGCAUCUUUUAAUUUUGUUCAGUUUUCCUCCUUUCACGAGGCCAGUUACCUCAUUGUUAAUCUUUUGGGUUUUCUUUCUUGUUUUUCUUCGUUGCAGGUGUAUGAAAAGGUAUGAAAGCAUUCUCAUCUUGUGUAUAUGUGUGCAUGUGUGUGGAUAAGGAGCACUGUUGAUGCAUCAAAUUCUUAUUUUUGUGUAUCAGGGAGCGGAAGUUGUCAGGAUGUACAAAACCUUAUUAGGGAGUCAAGGUUUCAGAAAGGUAUUCUUGUGUGAUAAUCAGCUAUACCAUAAAAGUGUGCAUCCUGGAAAAUUUAACCACAAUUGUUUUUCGUAUUUCAGGGCAUGGAUCUUUAUUUUAAAAGACAUGAUGGUCAAGCUGUGACAUGUGAAGAUUUUUUUGCUGCCAUGCGAGAUGCAAAUGAUGCAGAUUUCGCUAAUUUCUUACAAUGGUAUAGACCUGUCUUUUAUUUUCUUUGAAUUACCCUCUGUUUUUUUAUGCUUACCUUGGAAUGUAAUAAAAUUACAGGUACUCCCAAGCUGGUACACCUCUGGUGAAAGUUACUUCAUCUUAUGAUGCUGAAGCUCAUACUUUCACCUUAAAGUUCAGGUAUACAUGCUAACUUCCUUGCGAGAGGCAUGAUCUUCCUUUAUUAGUCUUGUGGUAUGACUGACAACUCGGAAUCUGGAUAUUCCACAGUCAAGAAGUACCACCAACGCCAGGGCAACCAGUUAAAGAACCCAUGUUCAUUCCUGUGGUGUUAGGGCUGCUCGACACAAGUGGCAAGGACAUGUCACUCUCGUCUGUGUAUCAUGAUGGAGCAUUGAAGUCUAUUGCAAGUGACAGUCAACCAGCCUAUAGUACAAUUCUUAGAGUAACCAAGGUGAGAGCACACCGGUGAACCCAUGCUUGCUUUAUCUUUGCAUGUUUUAGUUUCUCCUUGGAUAUCUUGUUAACUGCAGUUGAUUUCCAAUGUCCUAUUUUUGAUUGUUUUGCCAGAUUUUUGGUUAAGCAUCAAAAUGGUCUUUUCAGAUUUUUCUGGGUUGGAUAUGUGUUACUAGUUAUUCAUAUGAAUUAGUGGUGUUCCUGGAUCUACUAUAAAGAUGUUAGUAGUUGUGGUUGGAGUUAGUUAGUAGUUAUAUGAUGCUUUUAUUGUGAUUUUUAUUUAUUGAGAUUAAAAAGAAAGGAAUUUAUAUCAUGCAUCACUUUUAUUAAUAAGAAGUGAAUUUACUGCUGAUGCUGCACAGAAAGAGGAGGAAUUUGUUUUCUCUGAUAUACUUGAGCGGCCAGUACCUUCUCUAUUGCGGGGUUUCAGCGCUCCAAUCCGUCUUGAAUCUGAUCUCUCUGACAGUGAUCUGUUUUUCCUCCUUGCUCAUGAUUCAGACGAAUUCAACCGGUUUGUCUAUCUCUAAGCAUUUGUGCCAUUUUUCUUACUUUAAAGUGACUGAUGGAAAGGUAUUUUAUACUCUUUAUUUUUUUGUUUCAGAUGGGAGGCUGGGCAAGUCUUGGCUAGAAAACUGAUGCUCAGUUUAGUCGCUGAUUUCCAACAAGGGAAACCAUUGGUUCUGAACCCAAAGUUUGUGCAAGGGCUAAGAAGCAUUCUUAGUGACUCGAACUUGGAUAAGGUAUGGCCAGUGUUUUUUCCUCAUCUUCCUCCUCUUGUUUGUGGGGAGGGAGGAGGUAGAAGAUUCAUGCACCAGAGUAGAUAGAAGAUGUAAUGCACUAAUGAGGCUUAAUCUUUUUGUUAUCCAGGAAUUUAUUGCAAAGGCAAUAACACUACCAGGUGAAGGAGAAAUAAUGGACAUGAUGGAAGUUGCAGAUCCUGAUGCUGUUCAUGCUGUUCGAUCUUUCAUCAGGAAGCAGCUUGCAUCUGAACUGAAAGCAGAGUUUUUACGCACAGUAUGGCCAGUCACCCUGGGUUUACUUUAUUUGUACUUAUGUCUCCACUUCUUGAUUAAUCACUUUGGGUGAAUGAAUUUGUCAUACUUCACAGGUCGAAAACAAUAGGAGCUCAGAAGAGUAUGUGUUUAACCAUCCUAACAUGGCUAGGCGUGCUCUAAAGAAUAUUGCCCUUGGUCUGUGUUUCUUGUCUUGUUCUUGUGUUUCUUGGCAUCAUGGUUUUUAAAGUUUCUAGAUUAUAGUAACUAAUUUAAGUAGUUACACCUGUCUUUUCCACCAUCUGCAGCAUAUCUUGCAUCACUUGAAGACCAGGAGUUAACUGAGCUUGCAUUGCAUGAGUACAAAACUGCCACAAAUAUGACCGAUCAAUUUGCAGCUUUGGCAGCCAUAGCCCAAAAUCCUGGGAAAACUUGUGAUGAAGUACUUGCUGACUUCUACACCAAGUGGCAGGAUGAAUUUUUGGUGAGUCUUUUGCUGAGAGCAAUUCAUUUUACUUGUUUUGUCGUGCCCUGUUUCACCAAGGACAAGUAUAUUUGGAAAACAAUGACUUCCAUGAGGCUAUUAUAUCAUUGGAAGCCAUUUCAAGGAACAGAGCAUUGAAGUAAUUUUGUUAUCUCUUGUUGGAUAAUAUGUUCUCUCUUUCUGUUAGGUUGUGAAUAAAUGGUUUGCCCUUCAAGCUAUGUCUGAUGUUCCUGGUAAUGUUGAGAAUGUUCGGAACCUCUUGAAUCAUCCAGCAUUUGAUCUGCGCAAUCCAAACAAGGUAUGCAAUCAUCAAUAACUGUUUAUGUUUGUUUGUGUGCGCACCUUCAUGUGUCAAUUUCGAAGUUUUGAUUGAAAUUGAACCCUUUGUGUGAUAUGCAGGUAUACUCACUCAUUGGAGGAUUCUGCAGCUCACUCGUGAAUUUCCAUGCAAAGGACGGGUCAGGCUACAAGUUCUUGGGGGAGAUUGUGGUGCAACUGGACAAAAUUAAUCCUCAGGUUUGUUUCUAUAUUACAUCCACGGAGUAGGAAGUAAAUUGUCGUUAUCACUAUGCACAUGGGAUUGAUCAUCUGUAGUUGCUUGUUCAAUAACCUCCAUGGAUUCCAGGUGGCAUCCCGCAUGGUAUCAGCCUUCUCAAGAUGGAAACGCUAUGAUGAAACCCGGCAAAACCUUGCCAAGGUAAGUAGCUGAUGCCAUUUUCUGUGGAAUAACCAUCCAAAAGCAUUGAUGUUGCAUACAUCAGAUUUACCUUUGAGAUUUGUUGUUGGCUGGCAUGUUAAUUUGUAUCCAAAUUGGCACGGUUUAAUGCAGGCACAGCUGGAGAUGAUCGUGUCUGCCAAUGGACUGUCAGAGAACGUAUUUGAGAUCGCCUCAAAAAGUUUAGCUGCUUAAAUGCCUAAAAUUUGCAGGUUGCAGUUGUUUGUCAUCAGUGCUUGCGACGGUGAUGUGGGACAAUAAGUGUGUUUGGCACAUUUGCAAGUUCACCAUGAUAAGCAUGCUGUCCUCAUUAUGUCUCUUCCAUGGAAGAGACGGGAUUAUGUAGCUUUCAAUACAUCUUUACAUGGAAUAUUUCGCAAAAUAAUACCCUGAUGAUGCUUUUUUCUUCUUGGUUGGGUGAACUAGAAUGUUACUCUACUGUCUGUAGCACUAGCAUAUAUCUAGCUAGGGAUUAGUCGAGAUAUUAGCAUGGAAUAUUUCGAGUACCAACCUCCGAGACACUUGCUUCAUCUACCACGUGUCCAAUAAUAACGAAUCUAAACCUGGACCUAAUCCCCUUGCCUGAUCAGAUUUACUAGCAUCUUCAUUCAUAAACACGUAUCUAAUCCGAGGAGGAAGACUUGUGAAAGGAAAGGCAUCAUGUGGCCAAGCUUAUCGGCUAAUACAUGCUUAACCUUUUACUCGUCUUCUAUUUGCCUACAAUAAUAAGCAUGCAUAAAUGAACCGCUCAAGAGGCAAGAGGGAUUUGCUCAAGGAUAUGAGGACCUAGGGUUCAACUCUCAACGUUGUUUAUAACAGUUCUAUCCCUGUGCGAAUACUAGAAAACUUAUUUUCAUGUGAAAGCAUUAAUGUUCUUGUUAAAAUUCGAUCUUAGAGGGAUUUAGUCUUGACGUGUAAGAAAUUAUUUUAGAAUAACUUAAUCGAUAUUCCUCGAGAUGUCUCAUUUCUCAUGUAAUUUAUUGGAUAAGUGGAAUCCAUGAUUUGAUGAUUUUUUUCUUCUUAUGAUGAAAUGGGAAAAUCUUUUUGGUCAAAAUAAGGUUACUAGAUCUUCUUGUCAUAUUCAUAUGCCAUGACGUUCCACCGCGCCAUUCUUGACCGUUGUUGAAGAUGAACUACAGAUUAUAGGUCAAUGCACUUCAUCACUAUGGUUAAGAUUUACACAAUUUAAUUUACCAUGGAUCUUAUUGAGAGCCCCUGCUUUAUUCCUUAGGCACAUGCAAGAUGUGGGCCCUUUGACAUGUAUCAACUGUUUAACCCGCCACGUAAGGGCUGAAAACCUAACAAGUUUCCUGGCAAAAUUGAUAGCGUCUUGAGCCGGAAUUAGAUCUCGCUGUUUGCUCCACCUAUAAUAGGAAAAUGGCUCACAGACCUCUCUUCGGUGAGUUGUGACCACUUCAGAAAUUCUUCGAAGGCCACAGGGGUUUGUAGUUAUCCCUUCUGUAACUGUGCUGGUUGUUGGAAAGUAGAUGGGCAAGACGAGGAAAUUUUUGAUAACCUUAGUCCCCCAUUCCAACUCUUUGUUGAAUCACUAAUGGAAACCAUAGAGGAAAUUGGCUCAUAGAGGGAAUAUAUAUAUAUUUUUGUAUAUAUAUUCUGACUUCAGUAAACCUGAUUCUAGCUCAAUCAAAUCUCAACAGUGAAAGUAUAUGUAUUUGCAUUAUUAUUAGUUGUUACUUUUUUAUUUUAUUUCUAUGGCUAAAUGAUAUCUUCUCACGUCAUGAUUACGGAAUUAUGAUGAUCUAAUCAUUGGAACCUUUAACCCCUUAAUUAAUCAUCUUCUGUAUCUACGUAGACAUGCAAUGUAUAUCUCUCGAAAUUAGAUGAGUUUUGGGGGGACAAGUAGGGUAAAAGUAAACGACUGAUCCUUUUUCUCUUUGGUCAAACAGUUUCAAUAUAUAUAUAUCAAGCCCGUUUUACCCAGAAUCUGGAGGGGAAGAACACGGCGUAAUUCUCAACGUCCAUAAAUGCAUGAACAUCAUAUAUAAAAAUAAGCUCUUUAACCCACCCCCUUUUCUUUUUGCAUCAUCUAAGGAAACAGCGAAGGAAAGGAGCAAAAAGGUUAAAAAGAGAGGGUGGGACACUACAAGAACAAGUGAUGAUUUUACCUUGUUUUGACCCUAUGGGUUGACAUAUGGAUGCAAUAAUGGGAAAACGACAAUCUCUGGUUUGAUAAAAUCGUAAAUGAACCACCAGAUCGAAAGGGCAUUGAUCAUCAUUGCCUCGAAGAUUAUGUAUGGUGCAGCAAAGUAUCACGGCAUGCCCUAAUUUUCUUGGAUCAAACUGUUCUAAACUAUGAUCACAUGACCUUUUAACUUGAUUAAGCACAUACCAAGAUGGGUUACAAAGAAAAGCCUAGCUACUAGAGGCUUGUUGUGUCACCUUUUAGAUGCACCAAUCAUCUUGCUUUCCUUCCUUGAAGGGAAUCAAUCUUUCACCACUUGCAUAAAGAUCAUGUAGGGGGCAAUGACUUUCCUCGCAUACAAAACCCUAAGAAUCUAGGGCUUUAACGUGUGAAAUAUCCACGUGAGUGCUGCAUAUUUUUGUGGACCCUGAAACUAAAAGCUUUAGAUGAUUAGGCUUUUCUUACCUAAGUAGAAGACUUUUGCCCGUAAAAGGGAAGAACAAUUACAAAUAACAAGCAACAAAAUAACUACUCAUUGCCCUACAGUGCGAAAUCUAGUAUACCAGGUAUUCGUAUUAGAGUCGUUAGUUUUUUGGACUAUCCAAGGUCAGUCAUUAAUUACUAGGCCAAUAUGCUUGUAUUGUUCUAGUCGUUUUUUUUGUUUUUAGUCUAAUGGUCCUUUUAAUUUUUCCAUCCUUGAUUGGUGGCGGGGCUAUGGCAAAAUGAUUGGGGGGCAAUAUAAAACUUGAAAGGGUAACAAUAAAAUAAAAUAAGAGAAAUAGGGCCACAUGUGUAAUUAGAAAACUUCUUAGAGGAGUCUAAUUGAAAGAACCUUGGGUAGAAGGAUUAGAUUGUACGGGCCUAAUUAUAUAAUAUCACUUAUCAAAACACUACAGGGGGUGGGGAGCUUGGCCCCUUCACUUCAUACGCUUGGGGAGAGAGCGAGAGGGAGAUCGAGGGAGAGGGAAUAAAGGAGUUUGGUGGAUGGAUAUUGACCAACUGUAGUGAAUGUGAUUAGGUGUGUGUUAGGUAGGUGGUUAAAAUUAAUUAAAUCUCAUGUGCAACUCUCCGGCCUAAUUCUAUCAUGUGCAACUCUCCGGCCUAAUUCUAUCACCUUCAUUCUUCCAAGUAAAAUGUUGAUGAAGUAAUAUUUAUAGGAGUUUUACCUAUAAAUGCCAACGCUUUUAACACUAUUAAAUUUUACUAGAUAACUAUUAAAUUUUACUAGAUAAAUAUCCCGAGCUAUUCUGGUUGGAUCAAAUUUUGUUAACUUAGAGAAGUUAUCUUGAACUUUUUUUUAAUCGUGUGGGAAUUGAUUCAGUAUGACUUAGUCAUCUUAACAGUUCUAAAGACAUUCCGAAUAUAUUGUUUUAAUGAAUAAUAUUAUAUGAGGAGAGAUACAAUAAAAGCCUUUUUAUUUUAUUUUUGGUUAACUAGAUUGUUAGCUUACGCUACGAUGUAGGCUAGAUCAAGAUUCUUUUCAAUGUGAAAAAAUGUUCAAGUAUGGCUAACAAGUUUUCUAGUAGAAAAAAAAUAGAUUAUGUGAGAAUUAAUUCGAUGUGACACGUUUAACUUAACAUGUUUAAAGGUAACCUAAAUGGCGAGUAAAAUAAUAGUCUGACUAAAAGCACUUAAGACAACCAUUUUUUUUUAAAGAAAUAUCAAAACAGGAACAUAUUAGAAGGAUUUAGGUCAACUUGUUAAAUUCAUAACUUAGAUCAUGAUAACCCAAUAUAAAACAAAUCAAAAUAAAUUAUAAAGUUAAAUUCUCAAUUAAUCAAAUAUUGAAUGAUGAGAUUGAAAAAAAUAUAAAUAAAUAAAAACAAAUAAAUAACAUAAGCUAGCUUGAUUGAAUAUAUCCAAUUCACAACCUAAGUCGUGAGACUAGGAAAACCCUUUAAAAAGUAAAUCGAAACAAAUUAUGAAGUCUAAUUUCACAAUCAAUCCAAUUUUAAAGAAUGAAGUUGAAAAAAAAUGAAUUAAAAAGGACACAAAAAAUAACACGAGUCAACCCGGGUUAACUGUUAAACUCAUGAUCUGAGUUAUGAAAUCGGGAUAACCUCAUAGAAAACAAACCAAGAAAUCGACCCGUGAUAACCCAAAUUACCCUGCCAAAACCACAACUCGGAUCAUGAGAUAACUUUAUAUAAAGCAAAUUGAAACAAAUUAUGAAGCACAAUUUCUAAUCAAUCUAUUUUUGAACAAUGAAAUUGAAUCCAAUAAAAAAAUAGACGAAAAAUAUCUCAAGUCAACUAAGAUUAACCUGCAAAGCUUGCGAUCAUGGUCAUGAAACCAAGAUAAUAUAAUAGAAAUUAAACCGAAACAAAUCAUGAAGUCCAAUUUCUAAUAAAUCUAACGUUAAAUGAUGAAAUUAAAAAAAACACUAAUUAAAAUGAAAAAACCCAAGUCAAUUGAUCCGCUAAACUAGUAACACAAAUCAUAAAAUUAAAAUAAUUACAUAAAAAUCAAAUAAUAAAAAAAAAUCAUGAAGCUCAAUUUAUAAUGCAUUAAAUGUUGAAUAAUAAUAAUAAUAAAAAAAACAAAGGUCAUGAACAAAAAUACUUAAACAGUAUUUUCCAAGGUGAUGCGCUGCGCUGGAAGAAAAAACUAUUGAUUUUAGUGUUAAGUUAAUUAAUUUUAAUUCCAAUAUCAUUUUUUUAAGCUCAAAUAUAAUAAUCCAACAAGCAUUAUUAUUACACCGAUAUUCCAGACGUUGCCGUGUAUAUGAUAUCCUGGCUGUACUAAUUGAAAAGAUAAUCAGAAGAAAAACAUUGUGAGGUGUGGGAGAGAGAGAGAGAGAGGGGGAGAGAGAGAGAGAGAGCAGCCGCGCAAGCUAAUAGUUUAGAGAGAGAGAGAGAGAGAGAGAGAGAAGCGGGGUAAAGGGGAAGAAUUUUGGAAGAUGGGACCGUUGAGAUGGGAUAUGUGCGCACGAAAGCUAUCUAGAAGUUGAUGGCCACACGUGCACUCACUUUGUCAAUUAUUUAUUUAAAACAAAUCCUUUCUUUCUUUCUUGGUAAUAAGACCAUAAUUAAAAGCUACCAACUGAGAGAUUAUUAUUAAAUCAAUCACAAAAUUGCUUUUACACUUUUUUUAUUUAUUUUUUUACUUACUAUUCUGGUCAAUCAUAAAAUAGUGUCUUUCCCUCUCAUUUGACCAACCUACCCCCACUUCUCACUAACAAUUACAAUCAUUCCUUUUCUUCCCACCCAGAUCAUUUUACCUAGCGUGAACAACGAAUCUUUAGAUGAUUAAUUACAGUUAAUUGUAUCAUUUAUUUUCAAGGCUCUCUCGGUGUGUAUUUGGCAUUGAUUUUGAAUAUGAUUUUCGUUGAAAUUUAAUUAAUAUUUUACUGAUCUUAAAAAUUAUUUUUUAAAAAUAAAAGUAUUUUUAAAUAAAAAAUAUUUAAAAAAUAACUAUUACCACACACUCCAGAACACCUCUUAGAUAUUUUUACGAGGUCCAUUUUCCAUAUAUUUCCACCGUAUCUAGUUUGAAACCAUAGAGGAUUACGAUCAAGAACGAAGAUCAUGUUUCACCGUAAUAUCAAAUGUCGGAAGAGGAAGCAUGGAAGAAAAUUGAAGUGGAUCACAAGGAUAAAAAGGUAAAUGACAGAUAAUAAUUGAGGCGAUACAAAAAUACUACAAAAAAAUUUAAAAAGCAUGAAGUCCGAGUCGUCGUCGAUAAUUACAGAGUGGGAAAGAAAAAUUAAUUAAGUCUUUGCCGUGUUUGACCUCAAAAGAGUUACUCAAAUCACAAAAAUACUUCACACAGACUCUCUCUCUCUCUCUCUCACCUUACAGAAUAACGGGGAGAGAGAUUUCUCGGUGUGAGAAAAUUCCUUAACCAAAAAAAAAAAAAAAAAGAAUACAAAUGGUGAUUUGAGAUAUUUGUUUUUUUAAAAAAAAAAAAAAUUCAUUUCAUUUCAUCGGAGUCUUUGGCGUUUUCUCCAGUUGAAUUUUCUUUCUUUCGAUUCAGUUUUCUCGAGAAAACGCAAACAUUUUCGGGGAAAACAGAAGAUAGAGAGAGAAUAAAAGAAGCAGAGAUGAGAGGCUUCAAUGGAGAGUCGAGAGCUGCAAACAAUACUUUAGAGACCAUAAACGCUGCUGCUACUGCGAUCGCAUCUGCUGAGAAUCGUGUGCCUCAAGCUACGGUUCAGGUAGUUAUUAAUUUUGUUUUUAAUUUUCAUUGCUUUGUUUGAUCGUGCUGUCAUGAAUAAUCUUAUGCGUGAAAUUUAGCGAUAUUAUGAGUUUUAACUAAGAUCAAGUGAUGAUUCACAUGAUACUGAAGUUUUUCCAAGCAAAAUUAAAGCAGAUUUUGCUAUCGAAAUCAGUGAAAUGGUCUUAAAGUGCUUUAAUAUUGCUAUCAAAACCAGUGAAAUGGUCUUAAAAGUACGAACAAUAAACCUCCUCUUUUUGUGUUUUUUGAUGUAUAAUUCUUUUUUCACAAAGGUUGACUUUUGUUUCGAUAAAGCAUGUUGCUUUAGAUUUUAGUUUUGUUAAGCAAUAACUUUUUUAUUAUUUCCAAAGAGAAAGGUUCAUUUUUUGUUAAAAUCUGGCACAUAUAUGAUUUAGAGGAGUAAGUGAGAAGAAAUUAUGAGCUCAUUGUUGGUUAAAAUCUUCUUUUCACCUCUUAUAAUGUCUCAUGGACUUGGGAUAAAUUAUAGAUUAAGAGUUGAGAUUUCGUGCAGCUGAAAGGAUUUGUGGUUUCAUGCUCGAAAUAAGAGGGGGGCUGUUGAUAAAGUUAUUGUGACGCUCGACAAAUGAGAUUUGAAUCAAGCUAGAUGUUGAUCAUUAGUUUUGGUUUUAUCCGAGUCUUGCACUUGGUAACAUGAUUGAGUUUGUCUCAUUUUCUUUUAUGCCUAUGCUGCUACUUGAAAGAGGAAUUCUUGAUUAUUGUUUCCGGAUGCUGGCUGUGUUUUAUUAUUGUAUCUAUACCAUUAUUUAUGAACUCUCUCUUUCUUUCUUUUGAUGGGUAGUAGUCAAUAAGAUUUGUAAGUGUAGGCGUAAUGGGCUCUGCUUAUUGCAGUAGUAGCGACAACGGACUGAAUAGGAUAUAGACGCUAUUUUUUCUCUGCGAUGAUUUAUUGUUUGUGAAUCUGUCAAAAGUAAAUAUAAGGUCUUGUUUUGAUUCGUUAAUCCAUGUAGCUGCUCAGUGUGUGUUAAAACAACUGCUAUAUUGGAAUUCACUUUAUUGGUUUCCUUCAUGGGUCGUGCAUGAGAGUUUAUUCCAAUCUUUUAUCAUGAGAAAAAGAAAUAAUCCUCCUUUGCUGGAGCGGAUGUUUGGUGUGAUUUAAUGUUCUAAUACUAGUUUGUGUGGACAGAAGAGAAGAUGGGGGAGCUGCUGGAGUAUAUAUUUGUGUUUUGGAUAUCAGAAACACAAAAAACAAAUUGGUCAUGCUGUCCUUUUUCCUGAACCAUCAGCUCCUGGAAAUGGUGCUCCUGCUUCUGAAAAUCCAACCCAAGCACCGGCAGUCACACUUCCCUUCGCUGCACCUCCCUCCUCCCCUGCCUCUUUCUUUCAAUCAGAACCUCCUUCUGUUACUCAAUCACCAGCAGGUUUAGUGUCCCUCACCUCUAUUUCUGCCAGCAUGUACUCUCCCAGUGGACCUGCCUCUAUUUUUGCCAUUGGUCCUUAUGCCCAUGAAACCCAGUUAGUCUCACCACCUGUGUUCUCAACUUUUACCACUGAACCAUCAACUGCUCCUUUCACUCCUCCUCCUGAGUCUGUCCACUUGACUACACCUUCCUCGCCUGAGGUUCCUUUUGCUCAAUUCCUUGACCCUAGCCUCCGAAAUGGUGAUACGGGUCUGAGAUUCCCAUUUGAUUUUCAGUCAUAUCAGUUUCAUCCUGGAAGCCCGGUCGGCCAGCUCAUUUCACCUAGCUCUGGCAUUUCAGGUUCAGGCACAUCAUCUCCUUUCCCUGAUGGCGAGUUUGCUGUUGGUGGUGCUCACUUUCCUGAGUUUCGAAUAGGCGAACCGCCAAAGCUCUUGAACCUUGAUAAGCUCUCCACAUGUGAAUGGGGAUCGUAUCAAGGUUCAGGGGCUUUGACUCCAGAAUCUGUGAGGCGCGGAUCGCCCAACUUUCUCCUGCAUCGUCAGUUUUCUGAUGUUCCGUCGCGCCCUCGUUCAGGCAAUGGACACAAGAAUGGUCAAGUUGUUAAUCAUAGAGUGUCUUUUGAGUUAACUGCUGAAGAUGCCUCGAGAUGUGUGGAAGAGAAGCCAGCAUUUUCUAUUAAAACUGUGCCAGAAUAUGUGGAAAAUGGCACGCAAGCUAAAGAAGAAAAGAACUCUGGUGAAUCGAUACAAAGCUUUGAGUGUCGUGUUGGUGUAACAUCUAAUGACUCGCCAGAGAUGGCUUCAACAGAUGGAGAGGCGGCACCACAGCAUCGAAAGCAACAGUCCAUCACUCUUGGCUCUGUUAAAGAAUUUAACUUUGACAAUGCUGAUGAAGGAGAUUCACGCAAGCCUAGUAGUUCAAACUGGUGGGCCAAUGGAAGUGUUAUAGGGAAGGAGGGUGAGACCACCAAGAACUGGUCGUUCUUCCCUAUGGUGCAGUCAGGUGUUAGCUAGCUAGUGUCUAAAUAGACCUCUUCUUGGAGCCAUCUAGGAUUUUUGCUGCUAGAAACCGAGCACCACCACUUACUGAAGCCAAUUGCAGUGAAUUUUUCAUCUGCUGCGGGAAGGAAGGUAGACUGACCCUUAAAUGAAGGCUGUUUUUGAGUCCUUCGAGACCUGAAAACAGGGACAGAUGAUAGUUUUGAGUUUUUUUUUUUUUUUUUGGCCUAGCUCUCGCUUGCAUAGUGUAUCACAUAUCUCUCUUCCUUAGGCAGAAAGAUGAACUAACAGUAUCUAUCGAGUUCUUAUAAUCCCCAUUUGUAAUAUAGAUGAUGAAUAGAUAGUUUAAUAAUGCCAAGAUGGAAGGUUUUUGUCCUUUACUUUUUCUUUUUUCAUCAAUGCCCCUGUUUGGAGAUUUCGAUAUCUGGUACGAAGCAGCAUCAAUCAAAGAAAAGAUUAAGGAUUCCUCCCCAGUUUAUUAGAGGAAAAUUAGAUUUACCUGGCUAGAGCACAUCAGAACCUGAGCAUGAAUAUUGCAAGUCAAGAAUUUCUCAACAAACCCAUUUCUGCAUGUUCCAGUUCAGUCCAUUAAGUGUAUAUUUAUUUUUGCUGCAAUUUUUGUUUUUAGUAAUUAGUCCACCACAAAAAACACAUUAAUAGAAUCAUGAAUUUACUAUUUUUAUUUUUGCAUUUUUUUCGGUGGAGAGUUGUACCCACAACAAACACAAAAGUAGAAACAAAAACGACGACACCCUAAAUCUCUCAUCUCAUCAUUCAUCCCGACAAGUUAAUAUUAUUUCCUGUUUAUUUUUAUAUUUUAAAAGUAUUUAAAAAAAAUUAAUUUUUUUAAUUUGUUUAAAUUAAUAUUUUUUAGUGUUUUUAAAUUAUUUUAAUACCCUAAUAUUAAAAAUAAUUUUUUAAAAAUAUAAAAAUAUUAUUUUAAAAUAUUUUACGAAACAACAAUAACUACACGCUCGAAUCAUUAAUUACUUGAGGACUUUUAUAUCUCAGUUUCCUCCUUUUUCUCUAUGUUCAACCGUUAAAACUUGAUUUUUCAAAAGGUGAGAUUUGGAUUUCUGGGGGGACCCAUCAUUAUGCAGCCCCAGUCCCCGGGGCCUUCUGUUGAAUCCUAAAAAUCAAAAUAAAUAAAUAAAUAUUUUACUCUGCGCGCUGCUAACAGAUGUCGCUAUGGUUUCGCAAAUUAUAGCCUAUCCAAGAAAGGCCCAGUUACUGGUGAACCCUCUAAGGCCCUGACAACUGGUGUUCUCUCGACUCCUAAAAGGCCUAUCAUUUGUUUGCCAUUGUAAAGCCACGUUCCUUUAGUCGUUUAAAUUCUUUAUCAAUUUACAUGUCUAUUUUUUUAAUUCUACUAUUUGAAUAAUGUUUAAACUUUUUAAGAAAUAAUUUUUAAUUGAGUGUCAAUAUAUUUAUUUUUAUAUUUUAUUAUUUGAGUGUUACACUUUAAAAUUCUUUUGAUCAAUUAGAAUCUAUUGAUGAGUAGAAACUUUAAAAUACAUGAGGAAAUUAAUAUAUUUUUCUCAUUUUGUCCCUCUCAACGCAAAAUGAAAGCUAGUAAUGGAGGUAGCAUGUUCUUCUCACAAGAACACGUGUCUUUAAAAAAAUAUUAGGGUUACAAGGGUAUUUUUGUUUUUUUUUUUAAUAGUGGAAUCACUAAAAUAACCUUUUAGAGAAAAAACAAAAAAAGAGUUUUUGUCUAGGGACUUCGUGGUUAUUUUUUUAAUGAAUAAUAAAACAACUUAAAUGCUCUUGAGUCAAAUAAUUUUGAAGUUUUCUUGGACAUUUUGUCUUUAUGUUUAGGAUUUUUUGUUGUUUUCUAGUAGUAUAGAGGGCAUUUAUGUGAAAAUAUUUAAAAGAAAAGGGAAAAGUUGUUGUAGCGUGACAUGCGCGCGCCAACGAGUAGACGCCGCUACAACUCUUUGAGUGCAUGCGGUGGUAAUCGGUCGUCAAAUGUCAACUUCUAUUGUGUUGUUUGAAGGAUUGUCGCUUCCUAUUUCUUCUAGUGUUGCGUGUGUCAACAGAUGAUGGGUGGUUUGUCGCCAAUGACUGUUUCCCCCCUUGUUUUCACUCUCCUCCCCUACAAAGCACAUGUUAAUCUUCUUUGUUUUUGGUAUUUUAUUAUCGGUUCUUAUUUUUUUUAUUUCUAGUUUUUUUCUUGGACUUUUUAUAAAAGUUUUGUUCUUUCUCCAUUUAGUCAUUCAAUUGUAGUUUGUUAUAUAGUAUUUUUUCCAAUUCGAAUCUUGUUUUUUGGAUUUCUAAUUUUUUUCUUUGGCUUUUUUGUUAAAGUUUUAUUGAUUUUCAAUUUUAUCAUUCAAUCAAAGUUUAUAGUAUAUUACUUUUUCAACUCGAUUCUUAUUCUUUUGAUUUUAUCUUCUUUUUGUUAAAGUCAAUUUUCUUUUUGAUUUAACACUCCAAUAAAAAAAAUUUUGUUGCCCUCUUAUUUAUUUUUUAUCUUUAUUUUGACUUUUAUUUUUUUAAUUAUAUAUAUAUUUUUUAUGUAAUUAAUUUUUAUUUCUGGUUUCAUUUUUUAAAUUUGUUGCGAUUGAAAUUCGUAAUUUUUUUUUAAAAGAUAUUUGUUAACACGUGUUGGAAUCCUUCUGGGAAUGUUGCUCGUUCCUGCUGCUGAAAACCCAACCCAAGCAGAAAACCCAACCCAAGCAGUGGCUGACACUCUCCUUCCUCCCCCGCAGGCUGCAUCUUUCCUUCAAUCAGAACCUCCUCCUGUUCCAGAAAUCACCACCAGCAGGUUUAGUGUCCCUAACCUCUAUAGCUGCCAGACUGCCACGAUGUACUCUCCUAGUAGUUUAUAAGAGGAUAAUUAGAUUUACUUGACUGGUGGGUGUUCUUGAUUAUUAUAUCUAUUGCAAACGUCAAGAACUUAUCUUUCUUUCAAGUGUUUCUAUGCUUUAAAUUCCACAUCUCAUUGCAGCAAACACACACACAGAGACAGAGAGAGAGAGAGAGAGAGAGAGAGAGAGAGAGAGGAUUUGCAAAAUCUACCCACCUUUUGGACAGACAACCAUUAAAGAGACUAAUUUAUAAUUUAUUCUUUUUAAUUUGGUAACAUCUUUGGGUCUAUUUUCUAUAUAUUGAAAUCAAGUUAUAUUUGUUUAUUUCAAUUGAUUAUGCCAUCUAAAUGAAAGAUUCAUAAUUUUUUUUCACGGUAUGGUGUCAGAAUUGAAAAUUAACGAUUGAGGAAGAUGUAAUUUUCUUAAACAUCAGCAAAACUCUCUCAAAUCUCAAAUUAUCUUGGCUUAAAUCAAGUAAAAAGGAUUGUAUGAUGAUUUGCUUCGAUUGAUAAACUAAAAUAUUAAUUUCGUGUUUGUAUACUCUUGAGAAGCAUGUACGAUCAUGCUCAUGCUCAUGUUCAUUGCUAUUUUAUUUUAACGUUUGCACCAAUGCAAUGAAUAGAAAAAAAAAAAAAAAAAAAAAAAAAAACAGAUUUGAGAUGUUGGGGUAAACUAUUCGAUUUCCGAUUACAUCAACUAAUAUUUUGCACAAGUGAAAUGAAUGCUUGUAUUUGGUGGAAGCGCUUAGACGAGGCCCCGUUUAUUUGCUGGAAAGUAGUUUCUUUUUGGAAAGUGAAUUCCGGAAAAAGUGAAUUCCGGAAAAGUAUUUUCCAAUGUUUGGUAGUGUAAUGAAAAAUAAGUUGGAAAACAUUUUCCAGUGUUUAGUUAUGUCAUGUAAAAUGAGCUGGAAAAUAACUUAUUAAUGUUUUAUUUUUCUCAAGUUUAUUAAAAUAAUGAGGAACAAAUCUUACAAAUUAAAAGGUUGAAUGAGAAUGAAAUUGAAAAAAAAUAUAAUUUCAUAAAUUAUCUCAAAUAAAAUAAAUAAUAAUCAAAAUAAUAGAGAUCAAAUCUAAAAAAUUAAAAAAAAAAUGAAAGGAGAAUAAAUUAAAAUAAUAAUAAUUGACAUUUCAUAAAUUAUUUCAAAUAAAAUAAGUAACAAUCAAAAGAAUGAGGACCAAAUUUGAUAGAUAAAAAAUUUCAAUAAAAAAAUGAUAAGGAAAAAGCAAAUAGCAAUUAUAAAAAUAAGGACAAAAAUUAAUAUAAAAAUUAAUUUUUAAGAGAUGGAAUUGAAAAAUAAAUAUACAAAACAAAUUAUAUAUAGCAAUCAAAAGUUUGAGGAUCAAAUUUGAUAUAAUCAGCAAAUAAUAACAUUUCUAAAUUUUUCACAACUUCCGAAAAGUGUUUUCCGCUCAAAUUUUUCAGGAAAACACUUUCCUGAAAACCAAGCCAAAUUUUCCUUUGACUGGAAAAUAUUUUCCGUUGACCAACUUUUCUAAUGGCAAACAAACACAGGAAAGUUUGGAAAGUGGUUUCCCGGAAACCACUUUCCGGAAAACAAACACAGCCAAAAGGAAAAACACUUUCCUGGAAACUAAACCAAAUUUUUCUUUGACUGGAAAAUGUUUUCCGUUGACCAAAAAGUGUUUCCGUUGACCGGAAAGUGUUUUCCGUUGAUCAAUUUUUCUAAUGGCAAACAAACACAGGAAAAUUUGAAAAGUGGUUUUCCGGAAAGGGAAUUCCGGGAAACAAACAUGGCCUUAAUGAAACAACUUGGAAACAAUGUGGAUAAUCUACGGUUGGUUUGAUUAUGUGAUAGUUUUUAUUAUUUACCUAACUCUGAAAAAAAAAUUGUUUGGUUAGCUAAAUAAUUUUUGUUUUUCUCAUAAAAUUCUAUACAUAAUUGCAUUUCAAAUUUUAAUUUUUUAAAAGCUAAAAUAACUUAAUUUUUAUUUAUGAAGACUUGUUUUUUACAUAAAUCUAUCUUAGAGCAGUUUUAAUCAAAUAUAUUUUUUUAAAGCAAAAAUUUUAAAGUAUUUUUCUUAAACCUAUUAUUUUUAAUCACAAUCACAAAAAUUAUAACAAUGUUAAACAACAAAUAACAAGCAAUUAGACUACAAAAGAGAGAGUGAAUUUCUCCAAUUUGGAUAGUUUAAUAUAUGCAUGUAUUGAAAGGUAUCAUGAGAUUUUCUCUUAAAAAGAAUCACAAAAUUUAUUAAUAUGAAAUAAUAAAGAAGGGGCUUAGAACAUGAUUCUCUUACUUUUUUUAACAGCACAAACUACAGGAGGAAUGACAAGCAUGUGGGUUCUGGUCAAAUUCAAAUGGUCAAUAUACCAGCACCACCUGGAAUUUUACUAUAUAUAUAUAUAUAUGAACAUGUGCAAAACAUGUGCAAUAAGUUUAAAAAUCACAUGUAAAGCAUUCCUCCUGUGUCACACGAUGAUCAUGAGCCAAAAUUAUACAUCUUGAGAGAAUAAUUUAAUUUUUUUUUAACGUUAAAACCAUUGUCGAGUUAGUUUUCUUGCAUCACGCUGCUUAUGUGACUCGUGCUCUGUCACACUUUAGAUAUUUUUAUUUGCUAUAUAAAAAUUGUGUAUGUAAUUUUUUUAAUAUAUUUUUUUUUAUUUAAAAAAUUUAAGUUUAAAUAGAUUUUUUAUACAUAUAUGUAAUUAAAUAAAUUAAAAACUUAUGUGUGUUAAUAAAUAAAUAAAUUAUUAUUAAUAAUACUUGAAAAUAAAACUUGAAAAAUUAAGAGAUAGAUGGAGAUUAACAUAUUUAAUCUUGAAAAACAGGACAUUUACCCGAUUGUGUUUGCUGAUUUUUUUAUUAAAAUAUUUUUUUAUUUAAUUAAAUAAUAAUAUAAAUAGAGAAACAGAUUAAAUUGACCGAAUAAAAUAAUAAAAAAACAUUAUGCAAGGAUGCACUUGAUAUAAAUAUUAUCUGAAAAUAAUUGUUUUUUCAAAAAUAAAUUUUAUCUAUACAAAAGAUAAAAAAAAAUAUAAAUAAAUCAGAAAAACUCUUCAAAUUUAAAUGCAUAACUAAAAAAAAUUAAUUGUCAUUUAAAAGAAACUCUCCAAAUAAAAUAAAAGAGAUAAGGGGUUCUAAUUUAAAUAUAAAUUAAAAAAUAGAGAAAAAACCAUAAAAAAACCAUUAAUUUUUAAAAAUUAAAAAAAAAAAGCAAAGGUGAGAUGCCGCUGGACUUGGCAAGUCAAGUCAGCCCACCUAACCCAUUUUGUUAAGGCCGCGCGAUUGAGCCCUUAAUUUUUUUCUUUGAAACUGGGGUGAACAACUCUGCCCCAAAUCUUUUUUUUUAAAAAAAUAAAACAACGUGUCGUCUGAUUUGUUCAGAUUCCAACCGCUAUGGUAGCCAGGAAAUCAGGAUUUAAGUUGUUUUUACCAAAAAACCAGUUUUUCAACAAGUUUUUUACUCAAAGCACUUAUAAAACAUCAUAGAAACCGUGAUAAACCUAUCCAUGACCUAAAAAAUCCAAAAAACCACCCAAAAAAACCAAAAAUCAACCCAAGUUUAGAUUUUUUUUUUAAUGAACUUUAAAGGUAAAAAAAACACUUAAUAUGAACUUCUCUCAUCAAAUGGAACCAUUUGACACAAAUAUCGUUUAUUUUGGUGUUUUAAAUCGGUGUCAACAAUAUUUUUUUUUAUCUCUAUUGCCAGAAUCUGGUGACCUUUUUCUCUCUUCACUCAACAAUGGACUAAAAAAAUAACAAAAAUAAAUUUUUGUACCAAAAUUGAAUUGAAAAAAUAUUAAGGUACAAAAAUUUACAUGAUUUUUAAAGUUCAAUGACCAAAAUAUAUAUUUUGCGAGACUUAUAUUAUGUCACUCAUGUUUGAUAACUUUUUCAUUUCAGUUAUUUUUUUUUAAUCCUAUCUUUUUAUAAGAAAUUAAAAUUAAUUUAUUUUUUUAGGAUUAAAUUGCAAAAAAAAAUUAAGAAUAAAAUUAAAAAAAUAUAAAAUUUUACUUAAUUUAUUUAGAGCAAUAUAGGAGAGGAUAAACAGUGGUAUCUCGGGUUAUACUAGUUACUGAAAAAAGUUUCUUAGAGCCUGUGUGGUUGUGAUUGCUUUUUAAAAGGUUUUUCACUCGGAAAUAUAUCAAAAUAAUAUUUUUUAUUUUUUAAAAUUAUUUUUGAUAUUAGUGCAUCAAAAUGAUUUAAAAAUAUCAAAAAAAAUAUUAAUUUAAAAUAAAAAUUAAAUUAUUUUUUUUAAAACACAAAAACAAAAUUAGUCUUAUAUACAUAUACUUUGAAGAGACAUGUCAAAUAAAGGGUGGUCUAACUUGGCCACCAGACACCGGUUACUUUUCAACCAAAUUAAAACCCUUAAACGAAUAAUAAGAAGCAUCGUUGAAAGAAAGAAAAGUUUCUAGAGAACAACCUUGCUUGCCACUCAUGUUUGACCAGAAAACAAAACCUUGCUUGCCCUUAUAUAAUUAGCACAAUCACCCUCACAACUCCCUACCCUACUCCUUACAAUCCAUCUCUGGCGCCACCUCCACAACCACCACAAGCCCACCAUCACCUCCUCAAUUUUGGGAUUCGAAGUUUCUUCUUAAAGGCAUAGAAGAGAUUACAAAAUACAAGAGCAAUGGCUACCUUCACAACCACAACUGUUAUGUCCUCUCAAAGCAACAACCUUAGUCUCCACAAACUCAAGAUUAACCCAAAAACACAAUCAAACAUAGUCACAAUUAACGUUGGUGGGCGAAUUUUUCAAACAACAGAUCAAACCCUAGCUCAAGCAGGUCCGAAAUCCCUCCUGUCCCAACUCUCCGAGCUGAAUCAACUCGUUCCCCAUUUCAUCGACCGAGACCCUGAUUUAUUCUCUAUUCUCUUAUCCCUCUUGAGAACCGGAAAUCUCCCCUCAAAGGCCAAGUCUUACGAUCUCAAAGACUUGAUUGAAGAGUCAAAGUUUUACAAGAUUGAGUCUUUAUUAGUCAAUUCUCUCUCGAACCCGUCUCAAUUUGAUCCUUUUAACCUCCAAAAAACCGUAAUUUUACCCUUGAAUAGCCGGGACACGGCGUCAGCGAUUACCGCUACACCGCACGGUUCCUUGCAUGUGUCUCAUGGUAGCAAGAUCACAUCUUUUGAUUGGUCAUUGCAGAACAAGUCAACAGCUUUAACCCAAUUCACUGCAAUUGAUUCCAUGUUAGCGAUUUCCCCAAACUUGGUUGCUGUUGGGGCCACUGAUUUCUCGGGGUUGCAAAUUCUUGAUCUAGAGAAAAAGGGAUUAGUUUUAGAGACAUUGAAUUGGGAAAAUGUGACUAAAUCAGGGUCAACAGUACAAGCAAUUGGGUCAUCUAAUGAUUUGUUGUUUACGAGUUUCGAAUCAAGUAGGCGGAACUCGAAUUCAAUAUUGGUUUAUGAUUUAAAGACUUUAUCGCCAGUUACUGAGAUUGGUCAUUAUGAAAUAUUUGGUGCUGAUUUGGAUUCUGCUAUACCGGCCACGAAAUUGAAGUGGGUAGAGAGUUAUAAUGUGGUAAUGGCAUCGGGGUCUCAUAGUGGACCGUCGGGUGUGUUAGGGAAUGUGAAGUUUUGGGAUAUAAGGAGUGGAUGUGUGGUUUGGGAGUUCAAGGAAAAGGUUGAUUGCUUUUCAGAUAUUACUGUUUCAGAUAAUUUGUCAUCAAUAUUUAAAGUUGGAGUGAAUUCUGGGGAGGUAUUUUAUGCAGAUUUGAGGAAGCUAGGGAGUGAGGGUAUUGAUUCGUGGGUUUGUUUAGGUGAUGAGAGGAAGGUGGGGAAUGUGAGGAAAGAGGGGGUUGGGUGUAAGAUUGAGGCUCAUGGGAAUCAAGUGUUCUGUAGUAGAGGUGGUGAUAUUGAGCUUUGGUCUGAGGUGGUGAUGGAUUCGUCAAAGAAGAGAGAAGAGGGAUUGCCGGAAAGGGUGUUUAGGAAGAAUUUGAUGGGUAGAGUGAAGGAUAUGGCAGGGCCAAGGGUAACUAAUUUGGCUUUUGGAGGGGACAGAAUGUUCGUGACGUGGAAGGAUCAGCAGUCUGUUGAGGUUUGGCAAAGUUCUGUAAUGGGAUCUUGAUUUAAAAAGGGGGCUAGUUUGGCAUUUCUGGAUUAAUUGUAAGACUGCACAUUACUUUUUGAAAGUUGGCAGUAUCUUAUUUAUUUUUUUGUAUAUUAGGGGUUUGUUGUUGUUUUAGAGCUUAGUUUGUUUGAUAGUUGAUAUAUUUGUAAAUGGCCUUGUAUUUUAUCAAGUCUAUAAAUGUUUAUUAAUGAUCAGUUCAAUGAGAUUGGUACGAGGAAAUCAAUUUGUUGUUUUCUGCUUUAAUUAAUAUGCAUAUGAUUACCAAUGAGAAUAUGUUUACCUGAGUUCCUUAGUUUUGAACUGCAACACAAAAUUCAAAUCUAGGAGUUUGAAUGUCUGUUUUUACCGUAUCAGAAUCUGAAGUGAUCAUGAUUUCUGCUCUAUUUUCAAAAUUGACUCUGGGAUUUCAUCAAUGAUCAAUGUAAAAUUGCAUUAUCUAGCAGUGUUUCAAUUUCAUGAGUCAACAUCACUUUAGACGGAUUCUUUCUGACUUUACUCCUUUCAAUGCUAUCAAGAGCAAAAUAUUCGACCUUUUAUCUCCAAAUGGUUUUAUAAACCAAUAGUUUGAUUUAUCUAUUUUUUCUUAUCCAUGCAUCUUUGAUUUCUGUUUGUAGUUCUAAGCAUUGCUGGUGUUAUGGUAUUACUUCUUAAUGCAUGACUCACUACUACUAGUCUAAAAGCCCUUUGAUGCAUUUAUAUGGAAAGAGAAGAGUUGACAUGAUUGCAUGAACUCUAAAGGACACACCGUUUAACAGUAAGAGCACAACAAAAUUGGCAACAUAAGCUAGAGUUGGGAUGAUGUUAAACUAUUGGAAUAAGUUUUAUUAUUUCAGGACUAGGUUGUUGUUACCAUUUUUCAGGAAUAGGUUGUUGUUCUACUGGAAAAAAAAGGGGGGACUAGGUUGUCAUAUUAUAGCAUGACUUUGCUUUAUUUCAAGUGUGGAUUUAACUAAAUAUUGGUUCAAUGUCUUCAUUUUCUUUUGGAAGAACUAUUUUUUUGGUCACCUUGCUCUAGUCCCGAGUUGAUUACUGGAAGACCUUAAUUGUGGUUACCUUCUACACCCCCUCUUCUAGUAUGUUUUGCUUUUUUACAUUCAAUGCUUUGAAUUUUAAAUCUGAAUGGGAGAAAAUAUGUGGAAAAACAGAAAGAUUCACAGGUUUGAUGGCACCAGUUUUGAAAUCUUUUGGUUUGAGUCACUGGGUCAUCAGUUAGUGCUUGGAUGAUUCGUCAUUUUGCUUUCAAAAUUGUGAAUGAUGUUUUUUCUAGUUUUGUUUAUUGAUGAUAGUCUUAGAUAAGGCAUGACGCAUCUUUAAAAAUAACCAAUUUUGAAGCAUAUGCAUCAUGUUUUCUCUUACCAAUCCCAUUCAUUUAUAUUUACACAAAGAAUCAUGUAUUUGUUUUUCUUAGUAUGGCCACCUGAGAACAGCAUUUAUCAUGUCUUCUUUACCUUACGUACUGAUUUCCUCCUUGGCCUCUCUCUUUUUAUUCAUUUAGAAGAAUAUGCAUCAUGUUUUCUCUUACCAGCUCCGUUCAUGCAGCAAUUGAUGUCUGAUGAAAUGUCCUCAUAAAGAAUUAUAAAUCUUUUUGUCUAAUAACUCUGGAGUAAAAUAUUUACCAUGUCUUCUUUAGCGUCAGUACUGAUUUUCUCUUUGGCCUCUCUCUUUUACACUCUUCAUUCUUGAAUGAAGUCUUACUAGCUUUAUAUUUUUCUUCUUGGCGUUCUCUCCUUUAUGGUAUUCCUCUAAUGACCUAAAUUUAUCUACUAUCUUGCCUUUCUCUGUUUUGCAGUCUGCAAAUUAGCUGUAUAUAAAUCCGAACUGGGCUUACAGGCAUUGGAAGUGUAGAAAGUACAUUCCAAACCUUUUAACAUCUUUCAUCCAAUGAUUUAAUUUGCUUGCUUAUCUCACUUUGUUACAUUUUGGGUUUCUAUGGAGCCAGACAGAAGUCCUUCUCUUCAAUCAAGUUGACAUGGUAAUUGUAACCUUACAUAUAUUUAUGCUAUAUUGCCAAAUUGCUCCAAAGAGAUAGCUCAGUGGGAACCUGCAGUAGCUUUAAAGCUCCCUGUUAAGAGGUCGGAAGCUAAAACCAUUCGCAUCUGGGAAGCCGGGAGGAUGAUAAUCAGUGAAUAAGUGUGAUUUUAUCAUCAAAGCAUGAAUAAAUAGGUAGAUCUGUGGAUAAAAAAAAUGUAUGCGUGUGAAGUAACCCUGUUAUGGUGACUAUUUGAGUAUUUUCCAGGAGCUGUUGCUCGAGUACAUGCUAUCUAUUUGUGUUGGUGAUGUUACGAGGAUCAAAAUUGUUCAUGCAAGGAUCAGGGACGUAGAGUCUUUAAGGCAGUAUUUCUGAAUUGGAGAUUAUCGCAACUUUACUGCUUUGCUUACUAUUUCCAGAUACUUUGAGUUAAUAGAAUGUUCAAUUAUGUAAAACUGGUCGCACCUCCGUAGGUAACAUACACAAACGUCUUACAGUUUUUGGUCAUAGGAGGUCUCUGUAGCACCUUUCCUGCUUCCUUUUUAUGAUAGGAAAUGUUCUUGGCACCACAUCAAGAGUCUCAAAUUCUGACUGAUAAGGAUAUCGAAUUUUCCUCACUUCAUAAGAUCAACUAGGCUCUGCAGCCCCCUAAUGUCACACACCUCAAACGAGACCUAAAAGUCUAACGAUUGGGAAGGAAUGAAAGCCAGGACUAUCUGGCAUAAGACUCGGAUCGAGGAUCUAAUCUGUCUGUGGCUCCAAUGCACCAUUUCUAUCCAUUCCCAAGCGAUCACCAGCUUGGGUGGCUUGUUAUUUCAAGCAUAGAUACAUAUAAGUGAAGUUUUUCCCUCUUUUUCUGAAUUGUGAUAAGCUCUAACAUGGAUUGAAUUAAAUUAAAGAAUUUUUAAUUUCUCACCAGCCAAAUUUGUUUGAGAAAACACGCGAGUUUAAAAACUGUAACAAUUAGAGGAAUAUUAAAAUGGGAACUGUUUCCAAAAAUCAAAUGCAACCUUAUUUAUUGGCGUGGGGAUUAUAUCCUAUCGAGCUCUUUCAUUUUCUUCGUUGCAGCUACCGAUACUUCGAUUGCUUGUGAAUGAAUCCAAAUUCUAUACCAGCAAGGAAAAUAUCUAUGCGCUUGGAACACGUAUUUCCUUUUCAUGCAAAAGUACUAGAUUUUCUGUCAUCCAUUUUCAUCAUGGCAUGUCACGUCACGCUAAAUGUUAUUCUGGAGAUUCUUUGCUUGCUUUAAAAUGUCUAACCCCUAGGAAUGUCAACAUUAACAAGAUAUAUUUAUGUUUCUUCAUCCAACCAAAUCAAAACCUCGUAAAUUUUAUUGGAACAAAAGUACGCCGCACUGCAAAACAAGCUAGAUAGCUUAGGGUUAGGAAUGAUCUCUACUUCAAACAUAAAUAUAAUGGAGAUGCAGUAUCUUUGUGUAUUAAUUGUGUGUAUCUGUGAGAGAGAGACGACCAUAUCGGAAGGUAAAUCAAGAUAUAGCAGAUAGUUGUCACUUGGAACACCAGCAACACCAUGGCCAAAGAAUUCUUAUUAAAACCUGCAAACUAUGCCAUGCCAACCAUGUCUAAAUGCUUUCUUUGGUUUUGCACUCCUAUCAAGCACAAUAUCACAUCAAUGACCAAAAAAACAGGGCAAAUAAAAGAAUUCCUUGAGAAUUUUAAAAUAAAGCCUUAACUUUUUCAACACCCCCUUGAAAUUUGUUAUUGUUUCACAGCUAUCCUGUUUCAUAUGUUUUUUCUUCAUAGCAGUAUAAUUCUUUGGGAGUUUUAAAAUAAUGCCAUAACUUUCUCUACCCUUGAAAUUUGUAAUUGUUUCACAAUUAUCCUCCAUAGAUUUAAUAUCUCAAUUAAAAUAAAUAUUAGGUUUUUUUUUUCAGAAAGGAAAGUGUUUUUUUAUAGUAAGAAAAUGGUAAUUUCAUUAUACUAAAUAAAGUAUAAAUACAUCACUAUUACAUAAUUAGUUUCAUACUACCUUCAAAGAAAAUAUAAUUUAUUGUUUGUGUCAUAACCUGUUUUUGACUUCUAAUUCUAAAUACAUUUUCAAAAUAUAAAUUUUUUUCAAGAAUAUGCUUGCAAUGAAGUUCAAUUAGUUUUCGUCUAUUUUGUAUUUUCAUCUACUUUUGUAAAUAAUAAAAGAGAAAGUAAAAGAAUUUAGGGAGUGAAAUGAGAGAAAAGAAAGAAAAAGGAACUAAAGUGAUUAAGGACCAAACAAUAUAUAAUGGGAGAUCAUGAAAAAAAAGAAAAUAAAAAUAAUAGGAGAAUCAAGCAAAAUUAAAAUAAAAAAUCUAAAGAGAUUCUAGUUUAAUAAUGAAAUAAUAUAAAGAUAUAUUAUUUUUCUAGUUUAGUUUUUUCAUCUUUUAAGAGUUUUAAAUCAAACUUAUAGUUAUCCAUGUUGUGAGAGGAAUUGGAGUAUUUUUUAAGGUAUCCACUCCAAGAAGAGAAAUAAAUUGGAGUAUCAAUAACUUAAUCACCUUCUUUAUGUCCACUAUAAUUUGAGAUUAAAAGAAAAAUAUUUUAUGUUAUUUAAUUCUUUAAAUAUUAUAUUAUGUUAUUAAGUUGUAUCAUCGAUACUUAUAUUGUGCUUAUCUUGAAUUUGACUAUGUAGAAAUUAUUGAAAAAGAUGAAAUUAUGAUCUAAUAAAUUUUGAGGCAUUUUGUGACAUUGAAAAUUAGGUUGUAAAAGAUGAUCCAUUAACCUUAACAACUGAAGAAGUAGAUAUCUUUCGAUGUGAUCUAUCAAUGAUAACUAUUAAAGAUAAUUUCUUUGAUGAUAAUGAAUGAUUGAUGCUUUACUUAUUGGUUUGUUUUAAAUAAACUGUUAUGUAACAUGUAAUAAUUAUACAUUGAUUAUGUUUUAAUUAUAUAUUUGAUAAAUUUCAAUGGGAUUGAUGAUGACUAUAAUGAUGAAACUACAAAUAAGCAUGAUGAUGUUUUGAUAGACGUUGAUAGGGUCGACUCAAUCACAUCAUACUUGAUUCAAACUUUGCUUAUUUGGACAUAAAAGAACUCAAUUUAUCCAUUGUAUCGAAGUGAAGGUGUUGAUGAUGAUGUAUUUAUGUGUGAGGCAUUGCUUUUCGACGUGCUUUUGCAUCAAACUUGAACUAAAAUGUUGUGGGAUCUUGAGGUUUUUGGUAAUAAAGUUGUUGUUUGUGUUGAAGUGUUUGUUAAAAUGUGGGAUUUUAAAUCGUAAUCAAUUAACUGCUUUGCUCUUUGGACUUGGAGCUUACUUGGUUUGUGAAAAUAUUUUGAAAUAUUUGUUAAUUAAUUGUUUUUAUUAGGAUGUUGUUCUAUUUUUUUCAUAUUCUUUUGUAGACUUUUUAGUAACAUGGAUAAGUAGAAGAGAUUUGUAUUAAUUAUCUUUUGAACAUGAGAGGAUUAUAGAGUGAAAAGUUGGAGAUGGGAGGCAAGAGUAUGGAUAAGAGCAAGAGAAAAUGGCAGUCACAUUCUCAUUGCCAAUCUUGCUUUUGAGUGAAAUGGAUUCCUCCAUUAUUUGUCGUCUGAAGAGUUUGAAUCUCCGUGCUUGACUUUUCUUGCCAUCGAAGUCAGCAGGAUAUGCAGCAAGCUGGGCGUCGAUUUUUCAAGUGCGAAUAUCAUCCAUAUAAACAAAGGAUUAAUUUACGAGGCUAAUUACAACAGCAUUUCGUGGAAAGUGCUGUGAUAUUACGAGGUUCGGAGAAAGGCCACACGAGCUGCCUUUCAACUUCGAGCGUGAUUUCUACUGUAAUUGUGGUUAUUUUUUAAAAUAUUUUUUAUUUUAAAAUAUAUUAAAAUAAAAAUUAUUUUUCAUAUUAACAUAUCAAAAUAAUCUGAAAAUAUUAAAAAUAUAUUAAUUUAAAAUAAAAUAAAAAAUAAAAAAAUUUAAAUUUUUUAAAAAUAUUUUUUAAACCCAACAAGUAACCAGCCUUCAUUAUCUACCAUUAAUCGACAAGCAGAUGCAGAGUGUCGCUUUACCGAAAGCCAUCAUACUUGCACGGGACAGAGAGAGGUAAUGCUCUGAAACUUUAUGGUGUUUCAAAGUUCGGUAAAGAAGCCUCGCCUCGCCUAGCUACGCACCUAAAAGAUCAGAGAAAAGUACUAAAAGCUCGGCAUAAAAUGGCACCUGGCCAAGGAUAUUCCUUUUCCUUUAUUUUUUUAAUUUUUGAUAUCCCUGACUCUGAGCAUAUAAAAAAUGCGGUCAUUUUACUUAAUUAGGGGGUGCUGUUUUAGCUUGUACCUCAGACCGAUAAAUAUUAAAGAAACCUAUGUUGAUAUUAUAUCGAAACCUAAAACCUAAAAGAGGUUUUGCACGGUAAAUUUAUCAUUUUACCUCUGCGGCACAAAAACAACUUGCUUUGGUAGGUGAGUAAUUCGGUAAAUUUAUCAUCUCAUGUUUUCAUAUCACGGUAAAAUUAUUAAAUUUUCUUUAAAAGUUAUUUUCAUUUAAUUACUUUAAGGAGCAUUUUUUGUUUUUUAUAUUUUUAAAAAAAAUUAGAAUGAUAAAAUUACUUUUAAAAUCAAAUCUCCUAAGCUUUGUGUUGAUGGAUAAUUUUGUUAUUUUUUAUUUUAUAAUAUUUUAUAUUUGACCUUUACUGUUUUGAUUUUUAGGUUUGAUUCGUGAUUCUUUUAUCAAAAUUUAAUUUGUUUUUAAUUUUAUUAAUGACUUAAUUUUUAAUUUAUUCAAAUUUAAUUCUUAUUUUCUUGAUUUUUAUUUUUUAUUUGAGUUUUUUUAUGAAUUUGAGUUUUUUUUAAUUUUAAUCUUUAAUUUAAAGUUUGAUGAUAUUUAAAGUUAAGUUUUCAAUAUUUUGAAUUUUUAGGGAUGGAAAAUCAUUUUUUUUCAUAUUUUUUAUGAUAUUAAGUGAUGGAUUUUUUAAAAUAUAUUGACAGCACUUGUAAUUUAAAUAACUUUUUUUAAAUCACAUGUUCUUACAUUACAAAAAAUUCAGCGCAGUAAAGCGCGGGACACCUGUAUAGAUUGAUACCGAUUGAAAGGGAGGAAUUGCGCGUGGAAUAUUAUUUGCCUUAUCCAUUCCUUCACUUCACAUGCAUUGCAUCUGCCUUAUAAUUUUGUUGGAGAAAACUUGAAUUGAUGUGAUGUGACAACAUGGGAAAAUAGUGCAUGCAAUAGUAAAUAAGAUGGUGAUCUUAUUAGAGCCAGCGAGGAAAUUAAAAUAAUAUUAAUUAAUACGGGAACCAACUGUAAAGAAAAUCUUGGUUUAUGUAAUUACUUGUCAAUGGGAACGAAUUUGGUCACUGAAAAAUAUGUGGCAACUUGGUCAUGUCAUCAAAUUAAAGUAAACUCAUAGCAAAUAUGAGGUAUGUAAUUUGUUUUAGAUUUAUUUUUUAAAGGUUAUUAAUUUAAAUUUUAUAAGUUUUAUGCAAUUAAAAAUUUAUAUGAUCGGUAACUUUAGAAUUUGUAAAAUUAGUUGAGGUACACACAAGCUGAUACAGAUAUUUAUAUUAAUAAUAAUAAAAAAAAAACUCAUAGCCAUGUGAUUAAACAUUUCUUUAUUUCACUCGAAUUUUUAUUACAUCCCAGCAUGAAAACAGGCAAGAACAAAACACAGAGACUCGUAUUUCGUUCUUUUAGUAGGAAAAAGAAAAAGAAAAAAGAUACACACGGCCAUACAUAAUACACGGACCUCAAUUCACCAGAUUUUCAAGGCAGCACAUAAUAUUUAUUAUAAAUCAAGUCGUCAGCUAUGUUCUUAGCUUCUUACUUACUCCGCACGCUGUUCUUCAACCAUCUCCAAGGGGAAAUGAGGAGACCCCCGAGGGCAAAAGAUAACCCUAUAGUUGGUCCCGCCAGGGCAUGUAAAUGUGCUCGAAGGGUCAUCCUGGGGAUAGCUGUAAGAAGUAGGGCACCUAUCCUUAAAAAACCUUGAGAAAUAGGUAGGGCCACAGCUCCCCUGCCCAUUAGUGCAGCAAUAUUCGUUAGUUUUAAACACAGUGCAUGGGUUAUUACACCCACCAGGAGCCCUCAAUUCAUUAGGAC